CAAAGUCUUUUGCCACAAUCUGAUUUUCACUUUUAUUUUUCUCCUGUUUUGCUUUAUUAGCUCUAUUAAUAUCAUCUUUCAAAAUGGAAUCAGGAGUCAUAGGAAGCAAAGUAAUAUUUUUAUCCUUAUGAACAAGAGUAUACUGAUUGUUUCUACCAUGGUGUACAGAAUUUUUAUCAAAUUGCCAUGGUCUACCAAGUAACAAGGAACAUGCUUGCAUAGGUACCACAUCACAAUCAACAUAAUCAGCAUAUGUAGAGAUACUAAAAUGCACACAAACAGUACGUGUUACCUUAACCUUGCCACUGUUGUUGAACCAUUGGAUGUAGUAAGGAUGUGGAUGUGGUCUUGUGGUGAGUGAUAGCUUCUCCACCAUAUCCAUGCUAGCCAAGUUAUUGCAGAUCCCUCCAUCUAUGAUGACGCGAACUGAACGUGCCUUCACAACUCCCUUUGUAUGGAACAAAUUAUGCCUCUGAUUUUGCUCAGCUUGUGUGACCUGCACACUCAAAACACGUUGAGCAACUAAACAUUCAUAGCUGUCAGCAUCUUCAGGAGCCAUGUAUUGCGUCUCAUGAUCAGAAUCAUCUCCACCAUGUUCUUCACGUGUAAUAAGAGCCAAAGUCUCCUCGGCAUAGUCACUAGCGGACUCAUACCCACCAUCCUUAGUAGCAGUCAUCACACGCUGAGAUUUGCAUUGUCUCGCAAAAUGUCCUCUUCCCUUACAACGACGACAAAUAAUAUCACUUGUGUGCCCUUUUGAUGCCAUGGAAGAAGAAGAACUCUGCGCAGGCCCGGGAGGUGUGCUCUUGGCAAAUAGUGGUGGUUGUGCGUGCUUUCUUGAAUCACGGCUGGAUGUGGCACCUGAUGGAGGUGCUAGUGGAGUGGAAGUAGAGGAUUCACGUGGUGUCCAUGAUGAAGAUCAACCUGCAGAAAAGUUAGUUCGCGCCAAUGCAUGUCGAUCCUGCACUUCACGUUCAGCUUUACAAGCAAGAUGGAAUAAACGAGUGAUAUUAGUAUACUCCUUAUACUCUAGAAUGGUCUGGAUCUCUCUAUUUAAUCCACCCAUAAAACGUGCAAGCAUAGCUUCAUUCUCCUCAACAAUACCACAUCUAAUCAUGCCAGUUUGUAAUUCCUGAUAAUAUUCUUCUACAAAAAAAUUCCUUGUCUUAAAUGCUGCAAUUUUUGAAGUAAUUCACGUUGAUAAUAUGGUGGAAGCCAACGAGUGCGCAUAGCACUUUUCAUAGCAGCCCAAGUAGCUGGAAUAGGAUAUAAUCUACAAUGCUCAGACCACCAAACACAUGCAAAAUUAGUGAAUGCACAAACAGCAGCAGGAACACGUCUCUCCUCAGGAUAUUGUAAACAUGUAAAUCAUUGUUCAGUUUCUAACUCCCAAGUAAGAUAUAUAUCAGGAACAUAUCUACCCUCAAAUGGUGGAAUAUUCAAUUUUAGUUUAGGGAGAUGGUCAUGAUCUCGUACCUGAGGGUGAGCCCUACCAUUGCCAUUAUUUGCAUGUGGACGACCUGGUGGUUGCUGUGCUGGUGGUGGCACGUAGUUCUGAUUUUGAUCAACCUCAUCCUCGUAAUCUCUCGCAAAAUCAUCCUCCUCCGCAUCAGCAGCAGGAGCCACAGAAGUAUCAACAGCAGCACCAAUAGUUUGGCCAGGUGCAAGAGGGAGACGGCUCGCUCGGCGGAGGGCUAUUUCGCGAUGUGGAGGUAGUCGUUGUUGUUGUUGUUGUUGUAGAGGUGCGUUAGGUGCAGCCGGUGCUGUUGGUGGAAGAUGCACGAGCAAUUCAUUAAACCUGUUAUCGAGCUUUGUUUCGAACGUCUUCUCCAUGCCAUCUAUCUUCUCCAUGGCCUCUUCAAAUCUGUUUAGCACAUCUUGCACCUGUCCACUCAUCAUUUGCUGAAAUUUAUCAUGCAACUCCUUUUUCGUCAUGUUCUCCCAGUCAGUCUCGUCGGCUUGUGAUCCUGCAAUGGUUAGCAACAAUAGAAACACACAAGAAUAUGAUCCUACAGACUACUAACAAGUGGUGGUGGUGAUGUCACAAAUCCGUCAAGCAAAUCUCAAAUUCUUACCAGUUCUUACCCAGCAGCAGGCGGUGAUCGGCAACCGUCGUAGUCAAAACUCUCAAAGCUUGGAUGGAGCGAUUAACAGGGAGAGUCAAACGCACAACGUAGAUGUAUGUGGAGCUGGGAAGGCUUAUAAUAUGGUAGCAAAAAGGGUCAGCAAUAAUCAAUUCAGAGAUGCAAAGUUGAAUAAACGCUCAACGACGGUACUGUGCUGGUCCUAGGCUAGACCGUGCUAGAGACGCGAGCGUAGAACACUAACAAAAUCACGGCGCUGCACGUAAACAAUGGAGGAGCACACUCUGAAUUUUUUUUCCUCUCUUUUUUGCUCCGCAACAAUUUUUUUUUGAAAAAGUCUACAAAUGGUCUAAAAACUGCCUAGCCAGAAUUUUCCAGACUUAGUUUUUUUGAGUUUGGAACUAUUUUUCUUCUGUGUGUGGCACGUAAUCUCGGGAGUCCUACUCUGUCACGACUCGGAGUAUGGCGUGAUCUGGAACUCGAAAACAAAGCAACAAAUACUGGACUCGGACUAGGACUGGUGGCGGAGAUGAAUCUGGUGGAACUCGGAUUGCGGUGGUAUAUCUGGACUCAGAUUGGUGGUGGUAUAUGGCGAUGGUAUAUCUGGACUCGGAUUGGUGGUGGUAUAUGGCGAUGGUAUAUGUGGACUUGGAUUGGUGGUAGUAUAUGGCAGUGGCGAUGUAUAUGGUGGGGUGGUGGUAUAUGGUAAUGAUGAUGACGAUGGUGCAGCGGCGGCGUGACAACCUGUGAAUAGAACUCGAAACUCUAAGGGACUAGAUGCUAAAACCAGCAACUCGACACGACGAUCCAACCACAAAUUCAACACAGCAAAACUCUAAAAAUACUAUGGAAAGGCUCAAAUUGGUUUGGAUAUGAUUGAAGGAAAUAUGCCCUAGAGGCAAUAAUAAAGUUAUUAUUUAUUUCCUUAUAUCAUGAUAAAUGUUAUUAUUCAUGCUAGAAUUGUAUUAACCGGAAACAUAAUACAUGUGUGAAUACAUAGACAAACAGAGUGUCACUAGUAUGCCUCUACUUGACUAGCUCGUUAAUCAAAGAUAGUUAUGUUUCCUAACCAUGGACAAAGAGUUGUUAUUUGAUUAACGGGAUCACAUCAUUAGGUGAAUGAUCUGAUUGACAUGACCCAUUCCAUUAGCUUAGCACCCGAUCGUUUAGUAUGUUGCUAUUGCUUUCUUCAUGACUUAUACAUGUUCCUAUGACUAUGAGAUUAUGCAACUCCCGUUUGCCGGAGGAACACUUUGUGUGCUACCAAACAUCACAACAUAAAUGGGUGAUUAUAAAGGUGCUCUACAGGUGUCUCUAAAAGUACAUGUUGGGUUGGCAUAUUUUGAGAUUAGGAUUUGUCACUCCAAAUGUCGGAUAGGUAUCUCUGGGCCCUCUCGGUAAUGCACAUCACAUAAGCCUUGCAAGCAUUACAACUAAUAAGUUAGUUGCAAGAUGAUGUAUUACGAAACGAGUAAAGAGACUUGCCAGUAACGAGAUUGAACUAGGUAUUGAGAUACCGACGACCGAAUCUCGGGCAAGUAACAUACCGAUGACAAAGGGAACAACGUAUGUUGUUAUGCGGUCUGACCGAUAAAGAUCUCCGUAGAAUAUGUAGGAGCCAAUAUGAGCAUCCAGGUUCCGCUAUUGGUUAUUGACCGGAGACGUGUCUCGGUCAUGUCUACAUUGUUCUCGAACCCGUAGGGUCCGCACGCUUAAGGUUUCGAUGACAGUUAUAUUAUGAGUUUAUGAGUUUUGAUGUACCGAAGUUAGUUCGGAGUCCCAGAUGUGAUCACGGACAUGACGAGGAGUCUCGAAAUGGUCGAGACAUAAAGAUUGAUAUAUUGGACGGCUAUAUUCGGACACCGGUAGUGUUCCGGGGAUGUUUCGGAUAAAACCAGAGCACCGGGGGGUUACCGGAACCCCCCGGGGGGUUAAUGGGCCUCAUGGGCCUAAAGUGGAGAAGAGGAGGGGCUGCCACGGCAGGCCGCGCGCCCCCUCUCCCCCUAGUCCGAAUUGGACAAGGAGGGAGGGGCGGCGCCCCCCCUUUUCCUUCUCUCCUUCCCCCUCUCCUACUUGGACAAGGAAAGGGAGGGGAGUCCUACUCCCGGUAGGAGUAGGACUCCUCCUGCGCGCCUCCUACUAGGGCCGGCCGCACCCCCCCUUGGAUCCUUUAUAUACGGAGGCAAGGGGCACCCCUAGACACACAAGUUGAUCCACGUGAUCAUAUUCUUAGCCGUGUGCGGUGCCCCCUUCCACCAUAAUCCUCGAUAACAUUGUAGCAGUGCUUAGGCGAAGCCCUGCGACGAUAGUACAUCAAGAUCGUCACCACGCCGUCGUUCUGACGGAACUCUUCCCCGACACUUUGCUGGAUCAGAGUCCGGGGAUCGUCAUCGAGUUGAACGUGUGCUAAAACUCGGAGGUGCCGUAGUUUCGGUGCUUGAUCGGUCGGGCCGUGGAGACGUACGACUACAUCAACCAAAGUCAAUGCUUCUAUUGUCGAUCUACAAGGGUACGUAGAUCACACUCUCCUCCUCUCGUUGCUAUGCACCAUGAUCUUGCGUGUGCAUAGGAAUUUUUUUGAAAUUACUACGUUCCCCAACAGUGGUAUCAGAGCCUAGGUUUUAUAUAUUGAUGUUAUAUGCACAAGUAGAACACAAGUGAGUUGUGGGCGAUAUAAGUCAUACUGCUUACCAGCAUGUCAUACUUUGGUUCGGCGGUAUUGUUGGACGAAGCGGCCCGGACCGACAUUACGCGUACGCUUACGCGAGACCGGUUCUCCCGACGUGCUUUGCACAUAGGUGGCUUGCGGGUGACAGUUUCUCCAACUUUAGUUGAACCGAGUGUGGCUAUGCCCGGUCCUUGCGAAGGUUAAAACAACACCAACUUGACAAACUAUCAUUGUGGUUUUGAUGCAUAGGUAAGAUUGGUUCUUGCUUAAGCCCGUAGCAGCCACGUAAAACUUGCAACAAACAAAGUAGAGGACGUCUAACUUGUUUUUGCAGGGCAUGUUGUGAUGUGAUAUGGUCAAGACAUGAUGCUAAAUUUUAUUGUAUGAGAUGAUCAUGUUUUGUAACCGAGUUAUCAGCAACUGGCAAGAGCCAUAUGGUUGUCGCUUUAUUGUAUGCAAUGCAAUCGCGCUGUAAUGCUUUACUUUAUCACUAAGCGGUAGCGAUAGUCGUGGAAGCAUAAGAUUGGCGAGACGACAAUGAUGCUACGAUGGAGAUCAAGGUGUCGCACCGGUGACGAUGGUGAUCAUGACGGUGCUUCGAAGAUGGUGAUCACAAGCACAAGAUGAUGAUGGCCAUAUCAUAUCACUUAUAUUGAUUGCAUGUGAUGUUUAUCUUUUAUGCAUCUUAUCUUGCUUUGAUUGACGGUAGCAUUAUAAGUUGAUCUCUCACUAAUUAUCAAGAAGUGUUCUCCCUGAGUAUGCACCAUUGCGAAAGUUCUUCGUGCUGAGACACCACGUGAUGAUCGGGUGUGAUAGGCUCUACGUUCAAAUACAACGGGUGCAAAAUAGUUGCACACGCAGAAUACUCAGGUUAUACUUGACGAGCCAAGCAUAUACAGAUAUGGCCUCGGAACACGGAGACCGAAAGGUCGAGCGUGAAUCAUAUAGUAGAUAUGAUCAACAUAGUGAUGUUCACCAAUGAAACUACUCCAUCUCACGUGAUGAUCGGACAUGGUUUAGUUGAUUUGGAUCACGUAAUCACUUAGAGGAUUAGAGGGAUGUCUAUCUAAGUGGGAGUUCUUUAAGUAAAUUAAUUUAACCUAAAUUUAUCAUGAAACUUAGUACCUGAUAGUAUCUUGCUUGUUUAUGCUUGAUUGUAGAUAGAUGGGUCGCGCUGUUGUUCCAUUAAAUUUUAAUGCGUUCCUUGAGAAAGCAAAGUUGAAAGAUGAUGGUAGCAAUUACACGGAGUGGGUCCGUAACUUGAGGAUUAUCCUCAUUGCUGCACAGAAGAAUUACAUCCUGGAAGCACCGCUGGGUGCCAGGCCUGCUGCUGGAGCAACACCAGAUGUUAUGAACGUCUGGCAGAGCAAAGCUGAUGACUACUCGAUAGUUCAGUGUGCCAUGCUUUACGGCUUAGAAUCGGGACUUCAAUGACAUUUCGAACGUCAUGGAGCAUAUGAGAUGUUCCAGGAGUUGAAGUUAAUAUUUCAAGCAAAUGCCCCGAUUGAGAGAUAUGAAGUCUCCAAUAAGUUCUAUAGCUGCAAGAUGGAGGAGAACAGUUCUAUCAGUGAGCAUAUACUCAAAAUGUCUGGGUUUAAUAAUCACUUGAUUCAAUUGGGAGUUAAUCUUCCAGAUGAUUGUGUCAUUGACAGAAUUCUCCAAUCACUGCCACCAAGCUACAAGAGCUUCGUGAUGAACUAAAAUAUGCAAGGGAUGAAUAAGACUAUUCCCGAGCUCUUCGCAAUGCUGAAAGCUGCGGAGGUAGAAAUCAAGAAAGAGCAUCAAGUGUUGAUGGUCAACAAGACCACUAGUUUCAAGAAAAAGGGCAAAGGGAAGAAGAAUGGGAACUUCAAAAAGAACAGCAAGCAAGUUGCUACUCAAGAGAAGAAACCCAAACCUGGACCUAAGCCUGAAACUGAGUGCUUCUACUACAAGCAGACUGGUCACUGGAAGUGGAACUGCCCCAAGGAUUUGACGGAUAAGAAGGAUGGCAAGGUGAACAAAGGUAUAUGUGAUAUACAUGUUAUUGAUGUUUACCUUACUAAUGCUCGCAGUAGCACCUGGGUAUUUGAUACUGGUUCUGUUGCUAAUAUUUGCAACUCGAAACAGGGACUACGGAUUAAGCGAAGAUUGGCUAAGGACGAGGUGACGAUGCGCGUGGGAAACGGUUCCAAAGUCGAUGUGAUCGCAGUCGGCACGCUACCUCUACAUCUACCUUCGGGAUUAAUAUUAGACCUAAAUAAUUGUUAUUUGGUGCCAGCGUUAAGCAUGAACAUUAUAUCUGGAUCUUGUUUGAUGCGAGACGGUUAUUCAUUUAAAUAUGAGAAUAAUGGUUGUUCUAUUUAUAUGAGUAAUAUCUUUUAUGGUCAUGCACCCUUAAAGAGUGGUCUAUUUUUAUUGAAUCUCGAUAGUAGUGACACACAUAUUCAUAGUGUUGAAGCCAAAAGAUACAGAGUUGAUAAUGAUAGUGCAACUUAUUUGUGGCACUGCCGUUUAGGUCAUAUCGGUGUAAAGCGCAUGAAGAAACUCCAUACUGAUGGACUUUUGUAACCACUUGAUUAUGAAUCACUUGGUACUUGCGAACCGUGCCUCAUGGGCAAGACGACUAAAACACCGUUCUCCGAUACUAUGGAGAGAGCAACAGAUUUGUUGGAAAUCAUACAUAUAGAUGUAUGUGGUCCGAUGAAUAUUGAGGCUCGUGGCGGAUAUCGUUAUUUUCUCACCUUCACAGAUGACUUAAGAAGAUAUGGGUAUAUCUACUUAAUGAAACAUAAGUCUGAAACGUUUGAAAAGUUCAAAGAAUUUCAGAGUGAAGUUGAAAAUCACCGUAACAAGAAAAUAAAGUUUCUACAAUCUGAUCGUGGAGGAGAAUAUUUGAGUUACGAGUUUGGUGUACAUUUGAAACAAUGCGGAAUAGUUUCGCAACUCACGCCACCCGGAACACCACAGCGUAAUGGUGUGUCCGAACGUCGUAAUCGUACUUUACUAGAUAUGGUGCGAUCUAUGAUGUCUCUUACUGAUUUACCGCUAUCGUUUUGGGGUUAUGCUUUGGAGACGGCCACAUUCACAUUAAAUAGGGCACCAUCAAAAUCCGUUGAGACGACGCCUUAUGAACUAUGGUUUGGCAAGAAACCAAAAUUGUCGUUUCUGAAAGUUUGGGGCUGCGAUGCUUAUGUGAAAAAGCUUCAACCUGAUAAGCUCGAACCCAAAUCGGAGAAAUGUGUCUUCAUAGGAUAUCCAAAGGAGACUAUUGGAUACACCUUCUAUCACAGAUCCGAAGGCAAGACUUUUGUUGCUAAAUUCGGAAACUUUCUGGAGAAGGAAUUUCUCUCGAAAGAAGUGAGUGGGAGGAAAGUAGAACUUGACGAGGUAACUGUACCUACUCCCUUAUUGGAAAGUAGUACAUCACAGAAACCUGUUUCUGUGACACCUACACCAGUUAGUGAGGAAGCUAAUGAUGAUGAUCAUGAAACUUCAGAACAAGAUACUACUGAACCUCGUAGAUCAACCAGAGUGAGAUCCACGCCAGAGUGGUACGGUAAUCCUGUUCUGGAAGUCAUGCUACUAGAUCAUGAUGAACCUACGAACUAUGAAGAAGCGAUGGUGAGCCCAGAUUCCGCAAAAUGGCUUGAAGCCAUGAAAUCUGAUAUGGGAUCCAUGUAUGAGAACAAAGUAUGGACUUUGGUUGACUUGCCCGAUGAUCGGCAAGCAAUUGAGAAUAAAUGGAUCUUCAAGAAGAAGACUGAUGCUGACGGUAAUAUUACUGUUUACAAAGCUCGACUUGUUGCAAAAGGUUUUCGGCAAGUUCAAGGGAUUGACUACGAUGAGACCUUCUCACCCGUAGCGAUGCUUAAGUCUGUCCGAAUCAUGUUAGCAAUUGCCGCAUUUUAUGAUUAUGAAAUUUGGCAGAUGGAUGUCAAAACUGCAUUCCUGAAUGGAUUUCUGGAAGAAGAAUUGUAUAUGAUGCAACCAGAAGGUUUUGUCGAUCCAAAGGGAGCUAACAAAGUGUGCAAGCUCCAGUGAUCCAUUUAUGGACUGGUGCAAGCCUCUCGGAGUUGGAAUAAACGCUUUGAUAGUGUGAUCAAAGCAUUUGGUUUUAUACAGACUUUUGGGGAAGCCUGUAUUUACAAGAAAGUGAGUGGGAGCUCUGUAGCAUUUCUGAUAUUAUAUGUGGAUGACAUAUUACUAAUUGGAAAUGAUAUAGAAUUUUUGGAUAGCAUAAAGGGAUACUUGAAUAAGAGUUUUUCAAUGAAAGACCUCGGUGAAGCUGCUUACAUAUUAGGCAUUAAGGUCUAUAGAGAUAGAUCAAGACGCUUAAUUGGACUUUCACAAAGCACAUACCUUGACAAAGUUUUGAAGAAGUUCAAAAUGGAUCAAGCAAAGAAAGGUUCUUGCCUGUGUUACAAGGUGUGAAGUUGAGUAAGACUCAAUGCCCGACCACUGCAGAAGAUAGAGAAAAAAUGAAAGAUGUUCCCUAUGCUUCAGCCAUAGGCUCUAUCAUGUAUGCAAUGUUGUGUACCAGACCUGAUGUGUGCCUUGCUAUAAGUCUAGCAGGGAGGUACCAAAGUGAUCCAGGAGUGGAUCACUGGACAACGGUCAAGAACAUCUUGAAAUACCUGAAAAGGACUAAGGAUAUGUUUCUCAUAUAUGGAGGUGACAAAGAGCUCAUCGUAAAAGGUUACGUUGAUGCAAGCUUUGACACUGAUUCGGACGAUUCUAAAUCGCAAACCGGAUACGUGUUUACAUUAAACAGUAGAGCUAUCAGUUGGUGCAGUUCUAAACAAAGCGUUGUAGCGGGAUCUACAUGUGAAGCGGAGUACAUAGCUGCUUCGGAAGCAGCAAAUGAAGGAGUCUGGAUGAAGGAGUUCAUAUCCGAUCUAGGUGUCAUACCUAGUGCAUCGGGUCCAAUGAAAAUCUUUUGUGACAAUACUGGUGCAAUUGCCUUGGCAAAGGAAUCCAGAUUUCACAAGAGAACCAAGCACAUCAAGAGACGCUUCAAUUCCAUCCGGGAUCUAGUCCAGGUGGGAGACAUAGAGAUUUGCAAGAUACAUACGGAUUUGAAUGUUGCAGACCCGUUGACUAAGCCUCUUCCAUGAGCAAAACAUGAUCAACACCAAGGCUCCAUGGGUGUUAGAAUCAUUACUGUGUAAUCUAGAUUAUUGACUCUAGUGCAAGUGGGAGACUGAAGGAAAUAUGCCCUAGAGGCAAUAAUAAAGUUAUUAUUUAUUUCCUUAUAUCAUGAUAAAUGUUUAUUAUUCAUGCUAGAAUUGUAUUAACCGGAAACAUAAUACAUGUGUGAAUACAUAGACAAACAGAGUGUCACUAGCAUGCCUCUACUUGACUAGCUCGUUAAUCAAAGAUAGUUAUGUUUCCUAACCAUGGACAAAGAGUUGUUAUUUGAUUAACGGGAUCACAUCAUUAGGUGAAUGAUCUGAUUGACAUGACCCAUUCCAUUAGCUUAGCACCCGAUCGUUUAGUAUGUUGCUAUUGCUUUCUUCAUGACUUAUACAUGUUCCUAUGACUAUGAGAUUAUGCAACUCCCGUUUGCCGGAGGAACACUUUGUGUGCUACCAAACGUCACAACGUAAAUGGGUGAUUCUAAAGGUGCUCUACAGGUGUCUCCAAAAGUACAUGUUGGGUUGGCGUAUUUCGAGAUUAGGAUUUGUCACUCCGAAUGUCGGAGAGGUAUCUCUGGGCCCUCUCGGUAAUGCACAUCACAUAAGCCUUGCAAGCAUUGCAACUAAUGAGUUAGUUGCAAGAUGAUGUAUUACGAAACGAGUAAAGAGACUUGCCGGUAACGAGAUUUAACUAGGUAUUGAGAUACCGACGAUCGAAUCUCGGGCAAGUAACAUACCGAUGACAAAGGGAACAACGUAUGUUGUUAUGCGGUCUGACCGAUAAAGAUCUUCGUAGAAUAUGUAGGAGCCAAUAUGAGCAUCCAGGUUCCGCUAUUGGUUAUUGAUCGGAGACGUGUCUCGGUCAUGUCUACAUUGUUCUCGAAUCCGUAGGGUCCGCACGCUUAAGGUUUCGAUGACAGUUAUAUUAUGACUUUAUGAGUUUUGAUGUACCGAAGUUAGUUCGGAGUCCCGGAUGUGAUCACGGACAUGACGAGGAGUCUCGAAAUGGUCGAGACAUAAAGAUUGAUAUAUUGGACGGCUACAUUCGGACACCGGAAGUGUUCCGGGGAAGUUUCGGAUAAAACCGGAGCACCGGGGGGUUACCGGAACCCCCCGGGGGGUUAAUGGGCCUCAUGGGCCUAAAGUGGAGAAGAGGAGGGGCUGCCAGGGCAGGCCCCGCGCCCCCUCUCCCCCUAGUCCGAAUUGGACAAGGAGGAAGGGGCGGCGCCCCCCCUUUUCCUUCUCUCCUUCCCCCUCUCCUACUUGGACAAGGAAAGGGAGGGGAGUCCUACUCCCGGUAGGAGUAGGACUCCUCCUGCGCGCCUCCUACUAGGGCCGACCGCACCCCCCCCCCUUGGAUCCUUUAUAUAUGGAGGCAAGGGGCGCCCCUAGACACACAAGUUGAUCCACGUGAUCAUAUUCUUAGCCGUGUGCGGUGCCCCCUUCCACCAUAAUCCUUGAUAACAUUGUAGCGGUGCUUAGGCAAAGCUCUGCGACGAUAGUACAUCAAGAUCAUCACCAUGCCGUCGUGUUGACAGAACUCUUCCCCGACACUUUGCUGGACCGGAGUCCGGGGAUCGUCAUCGAGCUGAACGUGUGCUAAAACUCGGAGGUGCCGUAGCUUCGUUGCUUGAUCGGUCGGGCCGUGGAGACGUACGACUACAUCAACCAAAGUCAAUGCUUCCAUUGUCGAUCUACAAGGGUACGUAGAUCACACUCUCCUCCUCUCGUUGCUAUGCAUCACCAUGAUCUUGCGUGUGCGUAGGAAAUUUUUUGAAAUUACUACGUUCCCCAAUAAUGAUGACCUAACCCUAAAUUUUUUUUGGCUUUUUCGUGGACUAUAGGUAUGAAGAACAGACUCGACCUAAACUACGAAAAAUUGUAAAAUCUCACCGAGCAACAUGGAAAUCUGAUACCACAUGAUAGAGGCAAAGUUGUCCCAUCUUUCGAUGAGAUAGUGGCUAUCGUUUCAGAGGAAGUCGACUUUGACGAUUCGACUACGAACGUGCGAGGACGUCGCGCCUUAGCAAUCGCUAAACCAACUCCGAGGGGUUAUUGACCAUGCCGGAGCACGAUCAACCUGACCACGAGGGCCUGUUUCCUGCGAGCAAACAAAGAACAAGCAAGAAACUGAGAUUGCAAUCUGAAUUGCGAAUAUAAGAUGAAAGCUUUAUUGAUCAAAGUGGGGUUCUAUAACGUCUUGGUUUGGUCGUUGGACACAAACAAAGUAUGCGAAGUUGCAGCUACGGCGAACUUUUAAUCUAAACAAAACCCAAAGUCUAAACGACGCCCUAAGGGCUAUAUAUAUGGAGGAAGAGGGGGAAUUUCGUGGCCCUUGGAGGAGGGGUCCGAAACCAACCCUAACUCUUGUUUCCCCACACAUACGGACUCUAAAAACAGCCUAUACUUAAGUAUUUCGAAAAUACAUGGGCCUGGCCUAAUAAUAAGGUGACGCAACACCUAAAAUAACCUCUGGACGAAAUUUAUGAAGUGGCAUCUUGUAUAUUUCGUCCAAGGCUUCAUGCACUCCUUAUGGUGGCUUCAAAGUCCUGAAAUCAUCACUUGUAACUCCGUUCUGGAUCCCCUUGCGCAUGCCAUCAUCUCCAUGCUUGAACUUGUUCCAAGGUUCAUCUUUCUUGUCCAAGCUAGGCCCUUCAUUUGUAAUCAAGACAAAUGUAUCCAAUUUAGGCAGCAUCAUAUUCUCAUGAACACUAGAAUUGUUAUCGAGAAACGAAAGUACCUGAUAAUUCAAUUGGCGUGCGCGAGCUCUAGUAAUUGGUGCAGUAUGUAUAGCAGCAGGGGUUGUGGGUGUAACAAUGGUAUUGAUGUCCUCAUCAUACUGCGUGCCACAUCAUCAACCGGGUAUAUCUUCACAAAUUCUUCAAAAAGACCUCAUAUGAACUCCUCACUAACAAGAAACCCAAUGUAAGUUAUUUCAAAGUCUUCAGUGCUAAAUGUUGGAUUAGAAAUCAUCAUCACAAUUCUAAAUUUGCACCGAAAGCACAUGAAAGUUUUAUGCUUGGUAACGGAAAGGACUCGCACACCUAAAAAGUCUUCAACACCAUUCAUCACAAGGUUGUUGAAACUGUAGAUGUGCGAUUUGAUGAAACAAAUGGCUCGCAAAGAGAGCACCUACCUCCUAUGCUAGAUGAAAUGUCACCUAAGGAAUCCAUCAAGUUCAAGGCUACUUAGGAUGUCAUUCCAACCAAAGAAUUGAUAGAGUCUAAGGUGUCCCGAUGUUUCGAUGAGAUGGUGGCUAUCGUUUUCUCUGGGAGUCGACCUUGACGAUCUGACUACGAACGUGCGAGACAUCGCGCCUUAGCAAUCGCUAAACCAACUUCCGAGGGUUAUUGACCACGCCGGAGCACGAUCAACCUGACCACGAGGGUCUGUUUCCUGCGAGCAAAUGAAGAACAAGCAAGAAAUUGAGAUUGCAAUCGGGAUAUUGCGAAUAUAAGAUGAAAGCUUUAUUGAUCAAGGUGGGGUUCUGUGACGUCUUGGUCUGGUCGUUGGACACAAACGAAGUACGCGAAGUUGCAGCUAUGGCGAACUUUUAAUCUAAACAAAACCCAAAGUCUAAACGACGCCCUAAGGGCUGUAUAUAUGGAGGAAGAGGGGGGGGGAAUUUCAUGGCCCUUGAGGGUGGGGUCCGAAACCAACCCUAACUCUUGUUUCCCCACACAUACGGACUCUAAAAAUAGCCUAUACUUAAGUAUUUCGAAAUUACAUGGGCCUGGCCCAUUAAUAAGGUGACGCAGCACCUAGAAUAGCCUAUGGACGAAUAUUAUGAAGUGGCAUCUUGUAUAUUUCGUCCAAGGCUUCAUGCACUCCUUAUGGCGCCUUCAAAGUCCUGAAAUCAUCACUUGUAACUCCGUUCUUGAUCCCCUUGCGCAUGCCAUCAACUGCAUGCAUGUUCUUGCUCCAAUGUUCAUCCUUCUCCAAGCUAGGCCCUUCAUUUGUAAGCAAAACAAAUGUAUCCAAUUUAGGCAGCAUCAUAAUCUCAUGAACAUUAGAAUCAUUACCAAGAAACGAAAGUACCUGGUAAUUUAAUUGGUGUGCGCGAGCUCUAGUAAUUGGUCCAGUAUAUGUAACAGUAGGGGCUGUGGGUGUAACAAUGGUAUUGAUGUCCUCAUCAAGAAUCUACUGAAGAAGUCAUUCCAGAUCGUGAACAACAUCAUACGGGUGCACCUGAAGAAAAUGGCUUUGAAGAAAAUGCUAAGCCCACUCAAUGUCGUCAACCUGCUCAUCCUCGUGUCGCAAAUGAAGUGCAGAUCGAGAAAAUCAUCGACGACAUCAACGCACCAGGUCCUCUCACAUGCUCAAGGGCUUUACAUUUGUCAAACUUUUGUGGGAACUUUGCUUUUGUCUCUAUCAUAGCGCCCAGCAAAGUUGAUGAGGCAUUUCUGGAGCCUGGGUGGAUUCAAGCGACGCAAGAGGAAUUACAUCAAUUCGAGCUCAACAAUGUCUGGGAACUUGUCAAGCGACCAGACCCACGCAAGCACAAUAUCAUCGGUACCAAAUGGAUCUACCGAAACAAGCAAGAUGAAAAUGGCCUUGUGGUGAGGAAUAAGGCUCGUCUUGUAGCUCAAGGCUACUCGCAGGUUGAAGGAAUUGAUUUCGAUGAAACUUUUGCACCUGUUGCUAGACUUGAGGCUAUUCGCAUAUUGCUUGCUUAUGCUAACCAUCAUAAUAUCAUCUUAUAUCAAAUGGAUGUGAAAAGUGCAUUCCUUAAUGGUAAGCUUGAGGAAGAAGUAUAUGUUGCUCAACCCCCAGGUUGUGAAGACCCUAAGCAUCCUGACAAAGUCUUCAGACUCAAUAAGGCCCUCUAUGGUCUCAAGCGGGCCCCUCGGCCAUGGUAUGAUAGUUUGAAGGAAUUCCUCAUGAAGAAAGGCUUCAAACCCGGUUCACUUGACCCAACUCUUUUCACCAAAACCAAUGAUGAUGAAUUGUUCGUGUGCUAAAUAUAUGUUGAUGAUAUUAUCUUUCGACGUACUAACCAACGUUACAGUGACGAAUUUGCCUAUAUGAUGAGUGAGGAAUAUCAAAUGUCUAUGAUGGGAGAAUUGGAAUUCUUCUUAGGUCUUCAAAUUCUCAACAACGCAAUGGCAUCUUCAUAUCUCAAGAGAAAUGCCUCCAGGAUGUGUUGUGGAAAUUCGGCAUGCAAGAUUGCAAAGGUAUCAAAAUCCCUAUGCCCACAAAUGGCCAUCUCUACACUGAUGAAAAUGGUAUAGACUUUGAUCAAAAGGUAUACCGCUCCAUGAUUGGCUCUUUAUUGUAUCUAUGUGCAUCUAGGCCAGAUAUUAUGCUUAAUGUUUGCAUGUGUGCCCGUUUUCAAGAUACACCGAAGGAAUCACACCAUAAGGAUGUGAAGCAUAUUCUUUGAUAUCUAGCUCACACUCCAACACUUGGAUUAUGGUAUCCCAAGGGCUCGGCUUUUGAUCUCAUUGGAUAUUCUGACUAUGACUAUGCUGGUGAUCAUGUGGAUCGUAAGUCAACAUCAAGCACAUGCCAUUUCCUUGGACGAUCCUUAGUAUGUUGGUCCUCGAAGAAGCAGAACUGUGUGUCACUCUCUACUGCUGAAGAUGAGUACAUUGUUGAUGGUUUGUGAUGUGAUCAAUUGCUAUGGAUGAAGCAAACCCUCAAGGACAACGACAUCAAUGUGAAGAAUGUGCCUCUCUUCUGUGACAAUGAGAGUGCCAUCAAAAUUGCUCAUAACCCAGUUCAGCACUCGAAGACAAAGCACAUCCAGAUUAAUCAUCAUUUUCUUCGAGAUCAUGUGUUCAAGGGCAACAUCUCUAUCGAGCACGUGAAGACUGAAGAACAACUAGUCGAUAUCUUCCCAAAUCCCUAGGAUGAGAAGAGAUUUAGCAAGUUGCGGUGUGAGCUAAAUAUCUUAGAAUCUUCGAAUGUUCUUUGAAAAGGACACCCAUCCUAACACUUAUGCAAAAUUGAUGACUUAGAUGUGCAACACACGAAGUAAUGUUUUUCUUCAAUCAAUGAAAACUAACCCUGUAAGUGUGAAGGAAUAAACAAAGAAUUUGAUUCUUAGAGCCCUACGACAAUUGUACGUGGCGUGUGAAAUCAUCAUUCUUAUACGGUGGGUCACGCCACCAACAAAAGUUAAAAUCUUCAAUUUGAGUUUUUCGUCAGUUGAGAAAUUCCUCAAUUGUUCAAAUUCUUCAACUUUGCAAAGUCUUCACUCUUUCUGACUGUGUUAUAUAUAUAUAUAUAUAUAUAUAUAUAUGGGUUUCAAUCCUCUCCAACAUUCACUUAUUACUAAUUCUUCAAGUCGACUUUUUGCCUAAGUAAAUGCGAUCGAACCCGUCCCCCCCCCCUCUAUGCUAAACUCAACCCAAUCUGUUCACAAAUUAUUCAUGUACGUUCUAUUUGAAACAUGUUCAAAAUCUUCACCGUGUCCUUGUCAGCUGAAGAAUUUACGAAUGAAAAAUUAAAAUAUUCUUAUCUGAAUUUUCGACUUUUGCCGCUCAAACCGUUCUGCAUCCCUCGAUAAAAUUUAUCUAUUUUACCCAAGAUCUAACAUGAUCUCCACUUCACAGUACGUGGGUGACACAUGUCGCUAGGAUGGGAAGGGUCAGGGGCACGUUCGUCCAUUUUCAUUGGACGAGCGGUUUUUCACCUCGGCUAUAAAUACCCCUCGCCAUCCUCGGACCUCAUUUACUCCGCUCAAUCUCACUCGCCUCGCUCGAGCUCUCUGACUAGCGCCGCCACUGCCUUCCAUCAUCGCCGGUGAGGAAGAGCUUCACUGCCUCGACCUCGUCGCCGUCGUACUCGCGCCGGCCGCGGAAAUAUUCACUCCGUCGACACCGUAGCUGUCUUCCACCGACAAGUUAGGGCGUGGAAGAUCUGAACGGACGAGCUUCUCAACUUCUACUCUCAAUUCGUCGUGUUCUUCGUCAAGGGUAAAUAAAAUCUAGUUUUACCGCCCUUGUUGAUUCUAAUGAUUUCCACAGAAUCUUCAAAAUGUGUUUAUUCUUCAACUUCCAUACUCUUAAAGACCACACUUUCAUCUGUUCUUGAUUUGUUUCUCUAAGCAACAUUUUUCUUCAACAUUCCUCAAUUGUGUGGAUUUUCAAUCUAUACAACUCUGGAACCUAAGUCAAAGAACACUUAAUGAAAUUCCUCAAGACACCCCUGGUCAAAUUCCUCAAACUUGUUUCUUUUAAAAAACUUCUGAGUACGCAUAUGACCUCUCCAAAUUCUUCGCACCUAUAUUCUGUUCAUAGGUACACAUGUCCGCUGUUGAUAGAGGAAAAGGUGUCCCGAUAUUUCGAUGAGAUGGUGGCUGUUGUUUCUGUGGGAGUCGACCUUGACGAUCCGACUACGAACGUGUGAGACGUCGCGCCUUAGCAAUCGCUAAACCAACUUCUGAGGGGUUAUUGACCACGCCGGAGCAUGAUCAACCUGACCACGAGGGUUCGUUUCCUAUGAGCAAACGAAGAACAAGCAAGAAACUGAGAUUGCAACCUGGAUAUUGCGAAUAUAAGAUGAAAGCUUUACUGAUCAAGGUGGGGUUCUGUGACGUCUCGGUCUGGUCGUUGGACACAAACGAAGUACGCGAAGUUGCAGCUAUGGCGAACUUUUAGUCUAAACAAAACCCAAAGUUUAAACGAUGCCCUAAGGGCUGUAUAUAUGGAGGAGAGAGGGGGAAUUUUGUGUCCCUUGGAGGAGGGGUCCGAAACCAACCCUAACUCUUGUUUCCCCACACAUACGGACUCUAAAAACAGCCUAUACUUAAGUAUUUCAAAAAUACAUGGGCCUGGCCUAAUAAUAAGGUGACGCAGCACCUAAAAUAGCCUCUGGACGAAAUUUAUGAAGUGCCACCUUGUAUAUUUUGUCCAAGGCUUCAUGCACUCCUUAUGGUGGCUUCAAAGUCCUAAAAUCAUCACUUGUAACUCCGUUCUUGACCCCCUUGCGCAUGCCAUCAUCUCCAUGCUUGGACUUGAUCCAAGGUUCAUCUUUCUUGUCCAAGCUAGGCCCUUCAUUUGUAAGCAAAACAAAUGUUUCUAAUUUAGGCAGCAUCAUAUUCUCAUGAACAUUAGAAUCGUUACCAAGAAACGAAAGUACCUGAUAAUUCAACCGGCGUGCGCGAGCUCUCGUAAUUGGUCCAAUAUGUAUAGCAGUAGGGGUUGUGGGUGUAACAAUGGUAUUGAUGUCCUCAUCAUCCUCCCCUUCUUGAAAUGAAGUCGUCCUCGACGAAAGUUCAUCGUCCUCACCCAAAUAAGGCUUUAAAUCUGCAAUGUUAAAAGUGGGACUAACCCCAAAAUCUGCAGGCAGCUCAAGUUUAUAUGCAUUAUCAUUUAUUUUCUCUAACACCUUAAAAGGACCAUCAGCACGUGGCAUCAGAUCUCCAGGUGCAAACAAAACAUGUUUUCUACCCUUAUCUCCAGCAUGUUUAUAUUUAUCAUUCAUACGCUCAAUGUUUUCCUUAGUUAACUCAUGCAUUUUUAAAAUCAAUUCAGCAUGUUCUUUAGCAUCAAAAUUAACCUUCUCCGAAGAUUGAACAGGCAACAAAUCAAUAGGUGCACGAGGUAGAAAACCAUACACAAUUUCAAAAGGGCACAUCUUAGUAGUAGAAUGCAAUGAACGAUUAUAAGCAAAUUCAAUAUGAGGCAAGCAUUCUUCCCCCAUUUUCUUCUUAUUCUUCAAAACAGCCCUAAGCAUAGUAGACAAUGUUCUAUUGACUACUUCAGUUUGUCCAUCAGUUUGGGGGUGACAAGUAGUACUAAAAAGCAGCUUAGUCCCCAACUUAGCCCAUAAACAUCUCCAAAAGUGGCGAAGAAAUUUAGUAUCACGAUCUGAAACAAUAGUAUUUGGCACACCAUGCAAGCGAAUAAUUUCACGAAAGAACUAAUCAGCAACAUUAACAACAUCAUCGCUUUUAUGACAUGAUAUAAAGUGUGCCAUUUUCGAGAACCUAUCCACGACAAAAAAUAUGCUAUCCCUCCCCUUCUUUGUUUGAGGUAAACCUAAAACAAAGUCCUUAGAUAUAUCCUCCCAAGGAACACUAGGUACAUGCAAAGGCAUAUAUAAACUAUGAGGAUUGAGUCGUGACUUAGCUUUUUGACAAGUAGUGCAGCGAGCAACAAAACGCACAACAUCCCAUCUCAUCUUUGUCCAAAAGAAAUGUGUAGCAAGUAUAUCCUCCGUCUUCUUGAUGCCAAAGUGUCCCAUUAAUCCUCCUCCAUGCGCCUCCUGGAACAACAAAAGACGAACGGAGCUAGCUGGAAUGCAUAGCUUGUUAGCACGAAACACAAAUCCAUCGUUAAAAACGAACUUGUUCCAAGUUCUCCCUUCCUUACAAUUCUGCAAAACAUCUUUAAAUUCAGCAUCAUGCACAUAUUGAUCUUUGAUGGUCUCCAAACCAAAUAUUUUAAAGUCAAGUUGUGAAAGCAUAGUAUAAUGACGAGACAAUGCAUCAACAAUAACAUUUUCUUUACCCUUCUUGUGUUUAAUGACAUAAGGGAAAGUCCCAAUGAAUUCAACCCAUUUAGCAUGUCUACAGUUCAAUUUUGCUUGACUUUUAAUGUGUUUCAACGAUUCAUGAUCAGAAUGUAUAACAAAUUCCUUGGGCCAUAAAUAAUGUUGCCAUGUUUCUAAGGUCUGAACAACAACAUAUAAUUCUUUAUCAUAAGUAGAAUAGUUCAGACUAGGCCCACUCAAUUUUUCAGAAAAGUAUGCAACAGGUUUACCAUCUUGUAAUAACACACCUCCUAAUCCAAUUCCACUAGCAUCACAUUCAAGCUCAAAAGUCUUAUUAAAAUAAAGAAGUUGGAGUAAAGGAGCAUGUGUCAACUUAUCUUUCAAUACCGUGAAGUCUUCUUCCCGUGCGGUACCCCAAAUAAAAGGCACAUCUUUCUUUGUAAGCUCGUUGAGAGGUGCAGCAAUGGUGCUGAAAUCUCUCACAAAACUUCUAUAGAAACCAGCGAGGCCAAGGAAACUCCUCACUUGUGUGACCGUUUUGGGCUACAGCCAACUCUCAAUAGCUUCAAUCUUGGCUUUAUUAACUUCAAUUCCCUAUGGAGUAACAACAUAGCCAAGAAAAGAUACUCGGUCGGUGCAAAAGGUGCACUUUCCAAGGUUACGAAACAAACGUGCAUCACAUAGAGCAAUAAAAACAACACGUAAAUGUUCCAAAUGUUCCUCCAAAGAUUUACUAUAAAUCAGUAUAUCAUCAAAAUAGACUACCACAAAUUGUCCAAUGAAAGCACGUAAAACUUCGUUCAUUAACCUCAUGAAAGUACUAGGUGCAUUAGUUAACCCAAAAGGCAUGACUAACCACUCAUAUAAUCCAAACUUAGUUUUAAAUGUUGUUUUCCAUUCAUCUGCCAAUUUCAUACGAAUUUGAUGGUAUCCACUACGCAAAUCAACUUUGGAGAAUAUUAUAGAGCCACUCAAUUCAUCAAGCAUGUCGUCUAGUCUAGGAAUAGGAUGACGAUAACGAAUAGUAAUAUUAUUAAUUCCUAUACAAUCAACACACAUACGCGACGUACCAUCCUUUUUCGGCACUAAAAUGAUAGGUACAACACAAGGACUAAGGGAUUCACGUAUAUAACCUUUGUCGAGCAGCUCCUGUACUUGACGCAUAAUCUCCUUCGUCUCCUCUAGAUUGGUACGGUAUGGCGCACGGUUGGGUAAUGAUACACCGGGAAUUAAGUCAAUUUGAUGCUCAAUCCAUCGAAUAGGUGGUAAUCCCGGUGGCACGUCUAGUGGAAAGACGUCAGCGAACUCCUGCAAAAUGUUAGUGACAGCAGGAGGCAAAGAGGAAGGCACGUCCUCAAAUGAAAAUAAUGCCUCUUUGCACACAAAAGCAUAGCAAACAGAUUUGCUAAAAUCUAGAUCAUCAAUAUCUGAUUUUGUGGCAAGUAAACAUGCACUUUUCAAUUUAAUUUCAGAAGCAACACUAGAUGGUUUAUUAUUAGGCUUCAUUUGUUGCUCAAAUUAUUUUGCCACAAUCUGAUUUUCACUCUUAUUUUUCUCCUGUUUUGCUUUAUUAGCUCUAUUAAUAUCAUCUUCCAAAAUGGAUUCAGGAGUCAUAGGAAGCAAAGUAAUAUUUUUAUCCUUAUGAACAAGAGUAUACUGAUUGUUUCUACCAUGGUGUACAGAAUUUUUAUCAAAUUGCCAUGGUCUACCAAGUAAUAAGGAACAUGCCUGCAUGGGUACCACAUCACAAUCAACAUAAUCAGCAUAUGUAGAGAUACUAAAAUGCAGACGAACAGUACGUGUUACCUUAACCUUGCCGCUGUUGUAAGGAUGUGGAUGUGGUCUUGUGGUCAGAGAUAGCUUCUCCACCAUCUCCAUGCUAGCCAAGUUGUUGCAGGUCCCUCUAUCUAUGAUGACGUGAAUAGAACGUUCCUUCACAACUCCCUUUGUAUGGAACAAAUUAUGCCUCGGAUUUUGCUCAGCUUGUGUGACCUGCACACUCAAAACAGGUUGAGCAACUAAACAUUCAUACCUGUCAGCAUCUUCAGGAGCCAUGUAUUGCGUUUCAUGAUCAGAAGCAUCUCCACCGUGUUCUUCACGUGUAAUAAGAGCCAAAGUCUCCUCAUCAUAGUCACUAGCGAACUCAUACCCACCAUGCUUAGUAGCAAUCAUCACACGCUGAGAUUUGCAUUCUCUCGUAAAAUGUCCUCUUCCCUUACAACGAUGAAAAAUAAUAUCACUUGUGUGCCCUGUUGAUGCCAUGGAAGAAGAAGAGCUCUGCGUAGGCCCGAGAGGUGUGCUCUUGGCAGAUAGUGGUGGUUGUGCCUGCUUUCUUGUAUCACGGCUGGAGGUGGCACCUGAUGGAGGUGCUAGUGUAGUGGAAGUAGAGGAUGCACGUGGUGUCCAUGAUGAAGAUCGACCUGCAGAAAAGUUAGUUCGCGCCAAUGCCUGUCGAUCCUGCACUUCACGUUCAGCUUUACAAGCAAAAUGGAAUAAACGAGUGAUAUUAGUAUACUCCUUAUACUCUAGAAUGGUCUGAAUAUCUCUAUUCAAUCCACCCAUAAAACGUGCAAGCAUAGCUUCAUUCUCCUCAACAAUACCACAUCUAAUCAUGCCAGUUUGUAAUUCCUGAUAAUAUUCUUCUACAAAAAAUUUUCCUUGUCUUAAAUGCUGCAAUUUUUGAAGCAAUUCACGUUGAUAAUAUGGUGGAACCCAACGAGUACACAUAGCAGUUUUCAAAGCAGCCCAAGUAGCUGGAAUAGGAUAUAAUUGACAAUGUUCAGACCACCAAACAAAUGCAAAGCUAGUGAAAGCACAAACAGCAGCAGGAACACGUCUCUCCUCAGGAUAUUGUAAACAUGUAAAUCGUUGUUCAGUUUCUAACUCCCAAGUAAGAUAUAUAUAUCAGGAACAUAUCUACCAUCAAAUGGUGAAAUAUUCAAUUUUAGUUUAGGAAGAUGGUCAUGUACCUCAGGUGGUGGUGCAGCCCUACUGUUGCGAGGAUAUGCAUGAGGACAACCUGGUGGUGGUGGUGCUGGUGGUUGCAUGUAGUUCUGAUUUUGGUCAACCUCAUCCUCGUAAUGGGACUCCACCUCUGCAGUAGUAGCAGGAGCGGCGGAAGCAUCAACAUCGGCACCAGAAUUUUGCCCAGGGUCAAUGGGAAUGCGCUAUGCUCGUCCCACUUGAUUUGGAAAGCGACGUUGUUGUUGUAGAGGUGCGUUAGGGGCAGCCGGUGGUGGUGGUGGUGGAAGACGCGCGAGCAAUUCAUUAAACCUGUUAUCGAGCUUUGUUUCGAAGGUCUUCUCCAUGCCAUCUAUCUUCUCCAUGGCCUCUUCAAAUCUGUUUAGCACAUCUUGCACCUGUCCACUCAUCAUUUACUGAAAUUUAUCAUGCAACUCCUUAUUCGUCAGGUUCUCCCAGUCAGUCUCGUCGGCUUGUGAUCCUACCAUGGUUAGCAGCAGUAGAAACACACGAGAAUAUGAUCCUACAGACUGCAAACAAGAGGUGGUGGUGGAUGUCACAAAUCUGUCAAGCAAAUCUCAAAUUAUUACCAGUUCUGACCCAGCAGCAGGCGGUGAUCGGCAACCAUCAUAGUCAAAACUCUCAAAGCUUGGAUAGAGCGAUUACCAGGGAGAGUCAAGUGCACGAGUAGAUGUAUGUGGAGCUGGGAAGGCUUAUAAUAUGGUAGCAAAAAGGGUCAGCAAUAAUCAAUUCAGAGAUGCAAAGUUGAAUAAAUGCUCAACGACGGUACUGUGCUGGUCCUAGGCUAGACCGUGCUAGAGACGUGAGCCUAGAACACUAACAAAAUCACAGCGCUUCAUGUAAACAAGGGAAAAGCACACUCUCGAACUUUUUUUCGCUCUUUUUUUUGCGCUCCUCUUUUUUUUGCGCUCCUUUUUUUUGCAAAAAAUCACUAUAAUGGCGACUGUCUCAAAACUCUUCCCUCGUCAAACUGAUAGGAUGGGCACGAAUUUUUUUUUGACUUUUUUCGGAAAUCAGGGCAGCGAUGACGAAAAAGUGCGACAAAAAAUCACUAUGAUGGCACGUGGCUCAAAAGACUCAGAAAAGCCUAAAAAUAGGAUAGGGAAAAAAUUGCUUGUGAAAAUUUUGGCCUAAAAACUGCCCGGGGGUCUCCAAACUUUUUUUUUCCGAGACCUACUCAGGCAAGGAAACACGAAUCGGAAAUUAGACGAACCUCGAAAACAAACCUAAUAUGAGAGGAACUCGAAUUGGUAGUGGAUAUAUGAUGGUAGGAUAUGGCAGCGGUGGUGGUAUAUGGAUACGGAUUGGUGGUGGUAUAUGGAUACGGAUUAGUGAUGGUAUAUGGAGACGGAUUGGUGGUGGUAUAUGGAUACGGAUCGAUGGCGGAUAAGCGGUGGUGGUAGAUGGCAGGAGCGAUGAUGAUGGUGCAGCGGUGGCGUGACAACUUAUGACCAGAACUCGAAACUCUAAAAGACUAGACUCUAAGACCAUCAACUAGACACGACGAUGCAACCGCAAAUUCAACAAAGCAAAAUACUGAAAAGACUAUGCAAAGGCUCAGAUUUGUUCGGAUAUGAUGAACUAACCCUAAUUUUUUUUGGUUUUUUUCGUGGACUGUAGGUAUGAAGAACAGACUCGAUCUAAACUAUGAAAAACUGGAAAAUCUCACCGAGCAACCUGAAAAUCUGAUACCACUUGAUAGAGGCAAAGGUGUCCCGAUGUUUCGAUGAGAUAGAUAUCGUUUUCUGUGGGAGUCGACCUUGACGAUCCGACUAUGAACGUGCGAGACGUCGCGCCUUAGCAAUCGCUAAACCAACUUCCGAGGGGUUAUUGACCACGCCGGAGCACGAUCAACCUGACCACGAGGGUCUGUUUCCUGCGAGCAAACAAAGAACAAGCAAGAAACUGAGAUUGCAAUCUGGAUAUUGCGAAUAUAAGAUGAAAGCUUUAUUGAUCAAGGUGGGGUUUUGUGACGUCUUGGUCUGGUCGUUGGACACAAACGAAGUACGAGAAGUUGCAGCUAUGGCGAACUUUUAAUCUAAACAAAAGCCAAAGUCUAAACGAUGCCCUAAGGGCUGUAUAUAUGGAGGAGAGAGGGGGAAUUUCGUGGCCCUUGGUGGAGCGGUCCGAAACCAACCCUAACUCUUCUUUCCCCACACAUACGGACUCUAAAAAUAGCAUAUACUUAAGUACUUCGAAAAUACAUGGGCCUGGCCCAAUAAUAAGGUGGCGCAGCACCUAGAAUAGCCUCUGGACGAAAUUUAUGAAGUGGCAUCUUGUAUAUUUCGUCCCAUGCUUCAUGCACUCCUUAUGGCGGCUUCAAAGUCCUGAAAUCAUCACUUGUAACUCCGUUCUUGUUCUCCUUGCGCAUGCCAUCAUCUCCAUGCUUGAACUUGCUCCAAGGUUCAUCUUUCUUGUCCAAGCUAGGCCCUUCAUUUGUAAGCAAAACAAAUGUAUCCAAUUUAGGAAGCAUCAUAUUCUCAUGAACAUUAGAAUCGUUACCAAGAAACGAAAGUACCUGAUAAUUCAAUUGGCGUGCACGAGCUCUAGUGAUUGGUCCAGUAUGUAUAGCAGCAGGGGCUGUGGGUGUAACAAUGGUAUUGACGUCCUCAUCAAGGAUGGAGGAGAUUUAGACCUUGUUGAUCAACCGUUCUUCCCCUUCAUCAUCCUCAAGGCGGCGACGUUUAAGUCACAAGUCUUCGGAGCGCAAAAAUGAUGCAAGCGCAAGUCGUCCUCGUCCACAUCUCCAUGGCGACCACCAUCACGUUUGUGAUCCACCUAGUCAUGAAGGGAAAGUCACCUCCAAGCAACAUGUGCACGACGACGACGAAUGACAUCUACAUCAGGCUCAAGCAUGAAAAUGACAACAUCAUCAUGAAGAUGCUCGAGAUGCACCUACCUACAAGUCGAAACAAGCCCUACUUCAUGCCAAGUCCAAACUUCAUGACCACAAGAGAAGACCGCGAGACAAGUACCACCAAGACGGAGCUACGGCUACACCAACCACUUUGGCAUCUUCGCCAAGCGACUUCAAGGCAUCUUCGCCUUUGGAUGUAUGGCAUCUUCGCCAACAAGCACCUCAAGACUACGCUCAAGAGAAGCUCCCCAAGCUCAUGUCCGUGACUUCCACGAGCUACUACGACCUCGUCAUUAACCACACGAUUCCUUUCUAUGGGAAUCAAGAACCCGAGGAGUAUCUCGAGUGGGAGCGUUUGAUGGACGAAUACCUCAAGCUACAUCAAGUCCCUUCCGAGGAUCAAGUGAAGUGCGCCACAAGGAACUUCCACGACUACGCGUCCACAUGGUGGCUUCACGCACCUUCAGAGAGCUACGAAAUGAGUUGGCCCAAGAUGAAGAGAGCUUUGCGGCGAGAGUUUGUGGCUCCAACCUACACAGAACAACUUCAACGCCAAUUGGAGAACACCAUCCAAGGAUCCAAGUCCAUCGACGAGUACUUCAAGGAGAUGAAGAUUGCCUUGCGACGAGCCGGCAUAGAUGACCCCAUUUCGAUGAAGUUCCACUUAAUGAUGGGUGUCGGUGUCAAAACCGGCGGAUCUCGGGUAGGGGGUCCCGAACUGUGCGUCUAGGCGGAUGGUAACAGGAGACAAGGGACACAAUGUUUUACCCAGGUUCGGGCCCUCUUGAUGGAGGUAAAACCCUACGUCCUGCUCGAUUAAUAUUGAUGAUAUGGGUAGUACAAGAGUAUAUCUACCACGAGAUCAAGGAGGCCAAACCCUAGAAGCUAGCCUAUGGUAUGAUUGUUGUAUAUGAAGUUGUCCUACGGACUAAAAUCCCCCAGUUUAUAUAGACACCAGAGAGGGUUAGGGUUACACAAAGUCGGUUACAACAGCAGGAGAUCUUGAAUAUCCGCAUCGCCAAGCUUGCCUUCCACGCUAAGGAAAGUCCCAUCCGGACACGGGACGAAGUCUUCAAUCUUGUAUCUUCAUAGUCCUGGAGUCCGGCUGAAGGUAUAGUAUGGCUACCCAAACACCCCCUAAUCCAGGACUCCCUCAGUAGCCCCUGAACCAGGCUUCAAUGACAACGAGUCCGGCACGCAGAUUGUCUUCGGCAUUGCAAGGCGGAUUCCUCCUCCAAAUUCUUCAUAAAAGUUUGUAAACACCAAGAGUAGUGUCCGGCUCUGCAAAAUAAGUUUCCACGUAUUGCCACAGAGAGAAUAAUAUUAACACAAAUCUUAAUCCGCUGACGUACUCUGCAGCGUGACAUCACACUACGGCCAAGCCUUUAUUCGAAUCGUUUUCACUUUUCCACCUCAGCGUGUUUUGCGAGGCGGUUUCCUUGGCAUGUCUUGUCAAAGCAGAGAUCGUGUCCCCUUUAUUUAUGGGAUUCUCAUCAAUACGGACAUGGGUAACCCAAUCGUGCCCGUUAGCAUGUCUUCUCGAUUAAAAGCGAGUCCCAAAUGGUUACGGGGAGGGCUCCUGGUAUUCAACCUCUUAUAAAGAGACCAGGGCCUUACUCCUUUUCCCCAAUCUCAAAACAAGUUCGCCCGUCGCCUCGAGUUCCAACACCCUAGGCUCAAAAUUCCAGGUGCUUCGGACCUUCAACAAUGUCCGGUUCCGACCUUCAAGGCCGAUGGAUGCCUCCCUUCGUCGCGGAGGAGGACGUGCUAAAGUUGAGAGAGGCUAAGUUCUUGACCGCCGAAAUUUCGCAUAGGUUGCCUACUCAAAGGUAGACUAUCCCCAGUCCCCAGCCCGGUGAGAGCGUAGUGUUCAUGUCUCACUUCCUUCAGGGGUUAGGCUUCCCGAUUGAUCCCUUCGUGAGGGGGCUGAUGUUCUAUUAUGGGUUGGAAUUUCAUGACAUAGCUCCGGAGUCCAUCCUCCACAUUUCCUCAUUCAUCAUUGUGUGUGAAGCGUUCCUCCGUGUUACUCCUCACUUCGGAUUAUGGCUCAAGACUUUUGGAGUGGAGCCGAAGAUGAUCGAGGGACGGCACGCAGAGUGCGGAGGCGCUGUCAUAAGUAAGAAUGUUGAUGCUUCAUGGCCCGAGGGCUCCUUUCAAGAGGAGCUCGGCUUGUGGCAAUGAGAGUGGUUCUAUAUCACCGCUCCCAGGAGCGCCAAGUGGGCGGCGCCUCCUGCCUUUCGCUCGGGUCCCCCACCACGGCUAGCGUCAUGGGUCAACAAAGGAUUAGAUUGGGGGUUAUCCAAAGACGUGCCCUUGUUGCAGGGCCGCAUCAGGGAUCUCUUAGAAAGAGACCUCAACCUAGUCAAGGUGACGCAGGUCAUGUUGAUUCGCCGAACACUGCCCGGCAAACGUUGCUCCUUUCGUCUGUGGGAGUUUAAUCCAAAGGGACCACGAGCUCUCCAGCAUUUUAUGGGUGCAACGCCCGCGGAGAUGUAUAAAAUGUUCUUCGGAUCACAAGCAAUGUGUCCGGAUUUGACCGAGGACGCAGGUUUAAGCUGCAAUCGCCCGAAUACUCAAGUAAGUAACCUUGUGCCCGGACUCGCUAUCCGUAAAAUUGUCAUAAAUUCGCCCCUAAAAGAGCUGUCCUUUUAAACAGGAGUGGAUAGCGAAGGCAAAGCUGAUCAGGUGUCCGGCUCCCCUUCCUGAGACCAGGCUGGUUCCCGUGCUAGUCAGGAUGUUGAAGAUCGUGCCUUUGGAGGGAAGUGAGGGAGAGGACAAAGAAUCCAUGGCCUCCUUGAAGGAGGCUGCUCCGAAGGGAGGAACUGUCAAUUCCUCUCCUAAGGGGAAGAAGAGGGCCGCCUCUGACGACCCGGAGACCACGGCCUCAAAGCGGGGGGAAAAGUCCUUGUCAGAGGGUCCGACGCCGGGGAGAUCCUCGGCCGAGCUACGCCCUGAAAGGGAUCAGCCCUCCAGUGAGCCGUAAGUAGAGAAAGAUUUUCCUUUAGAGGGAUGAGAGAAAUCCUUGCUUUUUAUCUGAGAAGAUUAACCGAAAUUUCACUUUGUAGCUCGGACCUCAGCCCUUCUCAACAGAGCUCGUCUUCGGGGGAUCUUCUUCCGGAGAUGAUGGAGAGUGGAACGCCUCCCCCUGCCGUACCGCCUGGCGAGGCGGGCGACCCUGAGGUGUCGUCACGGAGGGUUUCUCCGAAUCCGGCCUUCGAUGGAGGUCAUAGGACGAGUCCGGCACCGUCCGGUGCGCGGUCGGAGGAGCUGAUGAUUCAGCUGGGGCGAGCUUCUAUCUCAGAGGAGCACCGUGCAUUGAUGGGUUCGGUGAUUGGAAGGAUUUCGUCCGCGGGAAGCGGAUUGCAUGAGGUCGUCAGAAGUUUGCUGACGGGUUUUGAAGUACGUUUGAUAAUGUACUUCUUUGUCAGUUGCGCAUAAACAAGAUGCGCCCUGUGUAGAUAGUAGCCCCUGAGACUCUGUGCGUUGUCAAAAUUGACGGCGCGCAGAGGAUCAUAAUCCCAGGUCUAAAAUGUCUCCUUUGUAUAUAGGUGGCGAAGCGUCCGGAAUCGAGCCGAACUGAUGAUUUUGCCGAACUAAAGCAGCAACUUGACGUGGCAGAUGCCGACAUCGCGCUCGUCAACGAGUGGCUUGAUGAGGCUCAAGGUAUGCAAUUCCUCGGGCUGCAUCUGGUAAGAGGAGCGUUAUGCCAGUAUCUUACAAUGUGUGUGCUUGACGCAGAUGGUGCGGACGCCGUGGAGAGUCUCCGGGUGGAACUUGCCCGAGCUAAGCAACAAGCCAGGAAAAGUGAUGCGGCUGCCGAGAAGGCCCUUGAAGAGCUGAGAGCCAAACAGGCUGCUCACUGCCGGAGCAGGAAGGAGGUGGCCGAGAUGGCCGUGAAGUUAAAAAGUGCUGCUGACCAUUGCAAGUUUCUUGAGAAAGAAGGCCGGGCGAGACAGACGGACUUAGAGAAGGCCGUUGCUGAUGCCAAGGAUGCUCGCUCUGCGAUGAGAGCUGCGAAGGAGGAGCUGCGUCAGGCCAGACAGAUUGCGGCUGGAAAGCCCUUUAUGCUACGGAGGAAGUUUUGUAAUCCGAAGUUUGCUCCGUUGGACCAGAUGUGGAGUUCGGAGGACACCUAUCUGGAUUUGGCAGCGAGCGCUGCUGAUGCGACCGAACACUUUUGAGAUCAAGAAGAUCGCGAAGUGGAAAGGCUUUUCUGGUCGCAGUUUCACAAUCCAGAGCGUCCACUGGCAGUGGACGAUCGUCUGGCUCAAUGGGCCGAACUGAAUAGAUUGUCCGGACUCGCCAUGAAGUACGUCAUGGGUCAUCUGUGGCCGGGCAGAUCAGAGCCGAAGAGUUAUUUCAGCUUGGUGCAGCAAUUCCUUGGCGCGGUGCCACAUAUCAAUGCGAUGAAGAGGUCAGCAUGCAUAGAGGGCGCACGGAUGGCUCUUGCCCGUGUCAAAACAUACUGGGCAGAGAUGGAGACCACCGCUGUUGCAUCCCGAGAUUCAGACAAAAGCUGAGUACCCUCCGAGCACUAUUUUCAGGAAGUCCUUAAAGGCGCUCGUGUAAUAGAGGCGCAAUGCUCGAAGGAUGCUAUGUGCUGAUAGCAUAUGUAAUUAUAAAGCAAUAUUUUGAAGAAUUAUAGUAGCCUUUUAUACUUGUGCCUGCAAGUAUUUGGGACACCUCCUGUGUGGCCGUUUUAAGAUAUAUAUACAAAAUCUGAAAGAUUGCAGUCGUUGGCUUCAGCCCCCAUGCACAUAGUGCAGGGGUGCUCGCAGAAGGCGCAUUUUCACACUUAAAGCAACGUCUUGGUCCUACAAAGGAGGUGAUAACGCAGCGAGCUAGGCAACCGGACUAUAAUGCUUUAACACUUUCACUUAGCCAUAGGAGCUUGACAAUGGGACUAUUUAGGUAGCCCCUGGUGGCGACUGCGCUCGCCUGAAUUCGGGGCGCGUGUGUGCCUGGCUGGGAAACGGCCCUUCGUUAAUGCGGAGGAAUCCUAUAGAUUCUGGAGAGUCAUCAAGUGGUUGACCAGUCUCACGCUAUAUCAUGACAGUCGGUUUUCGGCUUUCUCUACUGAGGUGCUCGCCUGGCCGAACCAGGGCACAAUCGCAGUAGUUCUCCUGGUGCCGCCUUAGCCGAUAGAGCGGAACGUAAGGCGGCCGAACACAGGAGCCGGGCAACCCAACAUUUGACCAAAAUCAUGACUCGGAGCUGAUGCAUAUAAGGCCAAAGUCGCGACGCCGAACACUCCCUAAGGUAUUCGGUCUUUAUGAGAGCGGGCGAGGUAACGCCCUGAGGUAUAAGCCCCUAGUGUCCAGGUACGCCAGCCUCCUCCUUGGUCAUAGAACCAGGGGAUGUGUAUCAACAAGAGACAGUAAAAAAGGUUUACACAGGGUCUUAAUCUGAAAAGAAUCCUUGUAACGGGUCCCUACUGCACGUCUGUGCCUGUGUCUCCGUUGUGCCGUAUCCUGGACGGGCGCGGCACGACGUUCAUCUGUAAAAAGAGAGCAACUAAGUUGAAAAAGGGGCGUGCCGAACAAAAAGUUAUAUGAAAUAAACAAAGUGUAAAGUAAAAUAUGAAAAAUUGAGCUUUAUUGUCUCUUAUUUUAUACGUGUGAAGCCCCUAGUACAGGGGUAUAUGGCCACUAAGCCUUUAUCAAUGAUACGUUUGUGCCGGACUCGUCUAUCCGUGUCCGUGGUCUUAAUGACCUGUUCCGAUGUUCUGGCUGGUGAAGCCGUUGUGUUGUGGGGCCGUUAAAGCGGCCGUACAAUCCUCCGCUUGGGGGAGGUGUUCUCACUGCUUCCCCUUUAAGGAGAUGAUGCCGCGUGGACCGGGCAUCUUAAGCGUAAGAGAUGCAUAAUGCGGUAUUGCAUUAAAGCGGGCGAAAGCUUCGCGUCCUAGUAGUGCUUGGUAUCGACUUGAGAAUGGGACGAUGUGGAAAGUCAGCUUUUCGCGACGGAAGUUAUCGGCAGAGCCGAAAAUAACCUCGAGCCGGAGAAAGCCCAUGCAAUGGGUGUCCGGACCUGGCGUUACUCCUUGAAAGGAGGUUUUGCUGUGGCAAAUUCUUUUUGGGUCGAUCCCCAUGUGGCGGAUUGAGUCCUGAUAUAUCAGGUUGACUCUGCUGCCACCGUCCAUAAGGACAUUUGAAAACUGGAGUCCGCCAAUUAUUGGAUCGAGUACUAGGGCAGUCCAGCCUGGGUUCCUGAUACUUCUAGAAUAAUCCAGAUGAUCGAAGAUGAUUGGAUUUCACAACCAGUGGCGGGAUUCCUUUGGGAUAGGCCGUGGGGCGCGUACCUUUAUGGCCGCCGCGUGUUUUGUUAUGUGGAGUAAGUUUACUAUUUUUACUUCUUGUGGAAAAUUCUUUUGUUUCCUGGUACUUUGCUUUUGGGGUUCGUCCUCGUCUUCGCUUGGUGUGUCGAGCCCCUUGUGUUCGGUGUUGAGUCUGCCGGAUUGUUUGAAAACCCAACAAUCUCUGUGGGUAUGGUUAGCAGGCUUUCCGAGAGUGCUGUGUAUUUGACAUAUCCUAUCCAAGAUUUUGUUUAGGUUGGAUAGGUCGUCCCUGUUAUCUUGGAGGGGCGACUUUUUCUGAUUCUGUCGUGAGCUUUUGAAUCCGGCGUUGACUGUCGUGCUCUUCGGACUUUUUUCCUUGGUCUGGUGACGGUCCUUAUUGCGUCGCGGUUUUCCGUUUCCAUCCCUAGUUUUGGAUGUACUUGGGUCACUGGUGCUGCAUCUUGCCAACCAGCUGUCCUCUCCUGCGCAAAAGCGGGUCAUGAGGCUUGUUAGUGCGGCCAUUGUUCUUGGCUUUUCUUGGCCGAGGUGUCUGGCAAGCCAUUCGUCUCGGACAUUAUGCCUGAAAGCCGCUAAGGCUUCAGCAUCCGGACAGUCGACUAUCUGAUUCUUUUUAGUAAGAAAUCUAUUCCAGAAUUGCCGAGCUGACUCUUCGGGCUGUUGAGUUAUGUGACUAAGAUCGUCUGCAUCCGGAGGGCGGACAUAGGUUCCUUGAAAAUUUGCUUGGAAAGCGUCCUCGAGCUCUUCCCAGCUUCCGAUUGUGUUUUAAGGAAGGCUUUUGAGCCAGUGCCGGGCUGGCCCUUUAAGCUUGAGGGGUAAGUAUUUUAUGGCGUGGAGGUCGUCUCCUCUAGCCAUAUGUAUGUGGAAGAUAUAAUCCUCGAUCCAGACUCCGGGAUUUGUUGUUCCAUCAUAUGCCUCUAUGUUUACGGGUUUGAAUCAUGCUGGAAAUUCAUAAUCUAGGACCUCAUCAGUGAAACAUUGGGGGUGUGCGGCACCCCUGUAUUUGGGUGUGCCGGAUUCUGAUAAUUGCUUUAUUGCAUUGCUUACGAGAGCUUGCUUUCUUGGCCCGUAAAUGGACCUGGCUGGGCCAUGAUACGAAUCUUUAAGCGGGUCGCAUGCCGGCUUAAGUGUGGCGCUACUUGCCGCUUUAUGCUAGCCAUGGGGUCGUCUAUCCGACCGUGUGGCUUUCUUACUUUUGGAAUGCGAGGGCUCCGAGGCCUCCUCAUCGAAUUCAGGCAGUAGCUUUCUCUUCGGAUAGCUUUUAGUGUGGCGACUGUCGCCGUAUUUGUCUGCGGUGUUGAUUACUUUACUCCAUCUGAUCCUGAGUGCAUCUUACGCAGUUUUUAGCUUCCGCUUCUGCUUUUUCAGGCUGCAUGCUGUUGCAACGAGCCGUUUGUGGAGGUUCUUCUACUUCGUGGGCUUGUCCGGCGUAGGGUCGUCCGGAAUGCCAUUUUCGCCGGGGGAGGGAUGUUCGGUUUCUCUAUCCGGGUUGUCCUGUUGGGACGGUUGCUCUAAGGCAUGCUCGUUGUCUACCGGCUCUUCCUGCUCUAUGGCUGGGUCUUUAUCGAGGCGGGGCUUGGGUCGGCGUUUACGCCGAUGCUUUGAUUGUUUUUCGAGAGAUCGAUCCCUCUUUCCAUACCCGUUUUCCUCGUUGUUGCUUCCUUUAGGGGUAUCCACCAUGUACACAUCGUGAGAUGAGGUGGUUGUCCGAUGCCCUAUAGGCGUUGGUUCUUGGUUGUCUCCUGCAUCGUCGUCCAUACCAUCAAUGUCUUCAGAGUCGAAGUCGAGCAUGUUGGUUAAGUCGUCGACAGUGGCUACGAAGUGGGUGGUGGGUGGGUUUUGAAUUUCUUCAUCAUCUGAAUCCCAUCCUUGCUGACCGUAGUCCGGCCGGGGCUCUCCUGAUAAAGAGAGAGACUUUAGCGAAUUCAGGAUGUCGCCGAAGGGCGAGUUCUGAAAGAUGUCCGCGGCGGUGAACUCCAUUAUCGGCGCCCAAUCGGAUUCGAUCGGCAGGGGUGCGGGGGGCUCGGAGUUCGGAGAGGAAUCCGGCUCCUCGGAGUCACGGGCCAUGCGGAGUGCGGGGCUGGAGUUCGGCUCGAUCCCCUCUGAGAUCGCAGCCCCUGAGGCAGCGUUCAACCGCUGAUCCUCGAUCGGCGCGGUAGGUUCUGAAUCAAUGGUCGGAACUGAUGCGUGUGCGGCCUCCAAGGCGUUGUUCGGUAGCAGAGCUAUAUCAUGCCCAUCGAGACAGUGCGGCGCGCUUGGCUGUGGCUCAAAUCCGUCGAAGAUCAAGUCCCCACGGAUGUCGGCCGUGUAGUUUAGGCUUCCAAACCUGACCUGAUGGCCAGGGGCAUAGCUAUCGGUCUGCUCAAGGUGGCCAAGCGAAUUGGCCCGCAGUGCGAAGCCGCCGAAGACGAAGAUCUGUCCGGAGAGAAGGGUCUCACCCUGGACUGCAUCGUUGUUGAUGAUCGAAGGAGCCAUCGGGCCUAAAAGCGAAGACACAGAGGAACUCUCAAUGAAAGCACCAAUGUCGGUGUCAAAACCGGCGGAUCUCGGGUAGGGGGUCCCGAACUGUGCAUCUAGGCGGAUGGUAACAGGAGACAAGGGACACAAUGUUUUACCCAGGUUUGGGCCCUCUUGAUGGAGGUAAAACCCUACGUCCUGCUCGAUUAAUAUUGAUGAUAUGGGUAGUACAAGAGUAGAUCUACCACGAGAUAAAGGAGGCUAAACCCUAGAAGCUAGCCUAUGGUAUGAUUGUUGUAUAUGAAGUUGUCCUAUGGACUAAAAUCCCCUGAUUUAUAUAGACACCGGAGAGGGUUAGGGUUACACAAAGUCGGUUACAACGGUAGGAGAUCUUGAAUAUCCGCAUCGCCAAGCUUGCCUUCCACGCCAAGGAAAGUCCCAUCCGGACACUGGACGAAGUCUUCAAUCUUGUAUCUUCAUAGUCCUGGAGUCCGGCUGAAGGUAUAGUCCGGCAACCCGAACACCCCCUAAUCUAGGACUCCCUCAAUGGGAUUGCACAACGACAUCUCCAAGAUGAUCUUCCUCGAGAACUACAAGUCCCUCGACGACAACUACAUUGGUGCUCUCAAGGCGGAACAAGAACUCAUGAAGGCCAAACUUUCUCCACCCCAAGCUCACUUCGCAACGACCAAGCUCCAUGAGAACGAGCAUGAGGCUACUACCACCACGAUGUCCAAGCCCGACGAGCUCCAAGACGAUACUCCCAAGUUCGACGCCAUCCCUCUUUGUGGCAUUGACGAUGCCGAGUCCUCCAUGACUCUUUUUCAAGACGGGGCGGCGAGGAGUACGACUACGGAGACCCUCAAGGACCAAGCUUUGGAGGCGAGGGACAUGGUGGCGAUCAAGGAUGAUGCUUCCAUCUUAGGAGGCGAGACUGAUGAUGUGCCAUCUUCGGCCUUCAACCAUGGAGAGACUGAUGUUGUGCCAUCUUCGGCCUUCAUCCACGACGACGACUACGAGACGGUUGAGCAUGGGAUUUCACCACUAGCCCCAUAUAUGAUGUGUUUCCACUAUUCCCAUGUGAGGAGAGCCACAACCCCCACCUCUAGAGUGAGAUGAGUGUCUCCACCAUAUGUGAGUUUGAGUGCACCUAUUUUGAGGGAGUGAGUGAACCACCACAUAGAGAGAGUGAGAUAGUUGAUAGGUCAUGUGAGGCCACUUUUAACAGUAAUGACUUGACCUCCACCUCUAUUGUGUCUUCUCAUUUGGUGCUAGGUCCCUUAUAUGAUGAUGCGCCGCUUCUCGAUGACUUCGUCCUACCUUUGGACAAGACGAUGGCCAUGGUGGAAUCUGAUGCACCCCCCACAUGCUUCCAUCACAAUGAUGAUCUUGACCACCAUUUGGUCUUUCCCACCUCACCUACACCACUUGAGUGGAAUGAACAAUGUAACAUAGGUGAAGGUGAUGCUCUAGUCCCACUAGUGGACAUUCAUGACAUUGAUUGCUUGCAUGAUGUUGAUCCCCCUAUUGACAUGCUUCAUGCUAGUAUGAUUUCCCCAUGCGAUGAUUUACCCAUUUAUGAUGAGUAUGAUGAUUGGCAUGUGGAGUCUUUUAGUUGUGAUGCCAUGUUACAUAGGAUUUCUUGUGCUAAUUCUCUCGGUCACAUCAUGCUUGCCAAUCCACUUGACUUGUCAUAUGCUAUGCAUGAGAUCAAUCAUAUGUCAUAUUUGCAAUCUCUUCAUAUUGACUAUGCAUAUGCUAUUAAAAUGAACCCAAUUUGCACAUAUGGCAUACAUGACAAGCCUAUGGUUAUUCGCAUUUGUUUCUCUUGUGAUGAUAUUGACAUGCUACCUUUGCAUCAUUUAUCUCAUAUGCCAUGCCAUAACCACCUAGCUUCGGAUAUGCAUUGUUUUGGAUGUUGUCCAUUUUCUCCAUAUGAUGUUCCCAUUAUUGCUCAUGAGGAGACCCCCAUAGUUUCCUCAUACAUGUUUGGAGAUUUUGAUCACUCCAAUCCAUUGCAUGAUCCCAAUACUUAUGUGCAUAAUAUGCUUCCCAUGAAUAAACAUGCUAUUGAUGUGCCAUUUACUUGUAUGCUCAAUUUUCAUCCCCAUCAUGUUAUGCACAAUAACUAUUCUAUCAUGAUGGAUGACAUGUUCUUAUACCAUGCAUCAAAUUUCUUUGACCGAUGCUUAUCUUGUGCUAACUCACACGUGCACAUACACAUCAUGAUGGAUGAUGUGUACAUUUACCACACGCACAAUUUCUUUGGUUUGUGCCUCUUUUGUGUAGGUACCCAUGAAUUCUUGUCAACCUCGCAAUCCCACGAGUUGACAAAACGAGCUCUAGAGAGCAACGAUGAGUUGUGAUCCCAUGGAUUGCAUUUCCCGCCGCUCUCUUCACGCGAAGUCUUCGUGCAUUUAUUCUACAUGUCCCUCACAUGGUUAUGGAUUAUUGUCCAUUACAUAUUCUAUGCCCAUCUUGCCAUGUUCACUUUGCAUGAUAUGCUCAUUCCCAUGACUUUGCCAUGCAUUUGUGAGCCAUGCUUUGCAUUACACAUGAUGAUUGAUUCUCAUACUUGUAUGUGUAUUUGCAAGCUUGGUGGAGAUAUCACUUGUUAUUGCCAUAUUUGCUUUGUGCCCCAUGCCUAUGAUUACACUAUGAUCUUGCUUUGUGUUCGUGCUUGCGAUAUGUCAUGUGCAUUGUCUAUGUCUAUUAUUUGCUCACAUGACAUGAUUGCCAUGAUUUCCUCUAGUAUGUUGCAUCUUCGCACUACUAGCUUGCAUGACUCGGUUACUAUGCUUGACUUGAUUGCCUCACACAUGAUGAACAAUUGCUCUUUCUAUUGUGUUGAGUGCCACACGAUAUUCACUACACCCAAUUCACAUUAUGCUUGGAUUGUCUUGCACUUGACACAUGUGUUUAGACACUUCAUUUUAUUUUGUGUUGUGAAUGAUUCCUAUGCCUACCAUAGACCUUUCAUUGAGCAAUUUGUGAAUGCUUGCUAUGAACUUGAGGUAGAUGCUUCUUCAGUUGUCCAACAUAUUUGCAUCAAUACCUCACAUUUACAUGCUUGUCCCCAUGAUAUCCUUGAUUAUGCUCAAUUUAUGUGCUUACAUGCCAUGUCACAAUCCUUUGUCACACCAUAUGCUAUGCUUGAUGACAACACUUGUUGGGUGAAUCACCUCUUGAAUGCUUGGUUUUGCACUAACGCUAACCGCAUUUGUUUUUCCAAGUGUUUGUUCUCCUUGCUCCUUUUGAAGGAAUCACGAGACGGUGCGACAUUGGAGAGUGCCCAUUUCGAUCUUCAAGAUGACAAGAACUUGGUGAUCGACCACUCCUACACGGCGACGCCAUCUCUUUCCCAUGGUGAUUUGGAUUUCGAUUCAAGGUCUGAUCUUUCCCAGGGGAGGGGAGAUGAUGCAGAGCAUCCUACGGGCAUCACCAUGUCAAGAGUACAUUUGGCAAGUGACACAUGCGACAUCUACUUCUCAUACCUAAAGGUGAAUCUUCCCCUUUGCAUGUGUUCAUUUGACCCCUUUAUGGAUGGUAUACUACUUGACACCCCUAUCGUGUGCAUGCGUAUGUAUUGUCGGAACUUAACGGAUGACGAGGAGGAGUGCAAGCGCCAAGGAAUACCUACACCACCCGCGAGGUAAGCCUAGAAGAGAAGAUGGAAGAAGAAGGAGCUGCAGAGUCUUCAGCGACCGGACGACCGGAAGCCACCGGACGUCCGACCCUCUACAGCCGCCGGACGACCGACAACACCGGACGUCCGACAAGUCCCAGGCACCGGACGUGCGACGCUUACUGGAAAUCCGGUGCCACCUGUCUCGAGAAGAAUCAGCGGACGUCCGACGCGCGCCGAACGUCCGGUCCGUCCUGAGCCACCGGACGUCCGACCCCCACCGGUCGUCCGGUACCUGCCUGUGUGCAGCCGCGGGCCUUUGGCCUUGUACCUCGCUCCCACUUACCCCUUCGUGGCUAAGACUAUACAUAGACCAGCUCCACCUCCUUUCUAAGGACAGCGUUAGUUUAGCUCAUUUGAGAGAUAGAGCUACGCUCAUCCAUAUUGGAUCUACUCCACGAGAGAGACCGCGGCCUCUACGGAGAAGAUCCACCUUGGAUUCAAGACCUCCUUGCGGAGAAGAUCAUCAAGACCCCGUCUUGGGCGGCCCCCUCAAGACCUCCUCACGAAGAAGACCGUUAUCUCUUGUAUCGUCCGUCGUUGACUUUGGAUCUUGUAUCUUUUUUUGUGUUUCGAGGAUCUAGCACAUGUGUGACUAUUUCUUGUUGGUUGAGUGAUUCUCUCGUGUUCCCCAUCGUGAUUUCCCUCGUUUUCCCCUUCGUGUUCCUCAUGAUCUUCGCGGGAUCCGCUCCUUUCGUCAAAGAUCGGGCGAUUAGGGUUCUACCCUACAUCAGAGCUUCUCUUGAGCAUAGUCUUGAGGUGCUUGUUGGCGAAGAUGCCGUAUGUCCAUAGGAAAAGAUGCCUUGAAGUCGCUUGGCAAAGAUGCCAAAGGAGGUGGUGAAGUCAUUGAGCGGUUGUUGGUGUUGAGCUCUUGACCUUCACGUCCUUGUUGGUGAUGGUGUCGAUGCCGAUGUGAUCUUGCCGGAGAUGGUAGCUCGGAGGCAUGUGCUCUUGAGCAUCUUCUCGAAGAUGAGGAAGACCGCUUGUAGGAGUUGAUGAGGGCCUUGAUCUCCUCAAUUUGAGCUUGCAUCUUGGCAUCGAUGGAGUUGUUCAUGGCAUCGAACUCGUCGUUGUUGUUGUAAACCGAAGAUGAAAUGCCUUGCCUAUCCAUCACUCCAAGAGAAAAAUGUGAGUGGUAGAAAGAGAAGAACGAAUACCAAAUGUACGUUGACCGAAGUUGAAAGUGGAUCAAUGAUCACUCCAAUGUGGACAAGGCAAUAGCACAAUUGGUACCAAUUCUUAUCGGUUUCUCACACCUACACAAGUAAGGCUUAUGGUGGAGCUCGGUGAGGAUAGUGGCACAAAAAUUUGAUGUAAAAUGUUAGCAAGAGUCAAUAAUGUUGAAAGAUAUUCACAAAUUCGCAAGUGUAACAAGUAGACCAAUAGCAAUGUGUGGCACACGGAAACACACACACGGAUAGAGAAAUGGGGUCGUGCAACCAAGGAUGAGCAUAAAAUGUGGAAUCCACGGAAAACACUCGUGUUACACAACUCAAGAGAGACGCUUGCAUGAUUGCUCUAUAGGCGGAUACGGCACUUGUGCACAACCUAUAAGAUGCAAAAUGGAUAAACUUUCUAUCCCAAGUAUGCUAUGUAUGUAUGGUUCCCGGUGUUUGAUCCAACAUGAUCGGAUAUGAAAAUCUUAUGCAAUGUGGUGGAUGCUAUGGCUAUUGCUUACAACCUUCUUUGCUCUUUCUCUUUUGCUUAAAAGCCUAUAUUUUUUUAUAUAUCCACUUUGCGAAAUGCACAAACCAAGAUAGUAAUUGUGUAUAUUCGGAAACAAACUUGAGGCACACGAGAUGAUAUGACACCAAUAUGAUAUGGUAUGUAUGCAAUGUAUGGUGUAGAUCACUAACGUGCACAAGUAACGUUGCCGGCAAUACUCGAAUGGCUAGUCUCGAUAGGCAAGUAACGCAAAAUGGGCUAGGGGUUAACAAUGCAAUUGCAAGGGGAAUGUACAAUGGAGGGGUACCACAUUACCAAGAUGAUAUGGAGGUUACCGUCCUUGGCAAUGAUGAGUAGCGGUGUUCUUGAUGUAGAUACCAAGAUGAUGGAGACUCGUCCCUAAGUAGCCGAAGCACCUUAGGAAAUGGAAAAACCGCGAACUCAAAAUCUCAAAUGUCAAAUGUCAAAAUGGUGGCAGCGGGAUGUGGUGGUGGUUGCGGAAGCUCAAAGGGAUUAUGGAAAUGCAAUGAUGGGUUGUGGAGUACGCAAUGCGGAAGUGGAGGUUAUGGUGGUGUACUAUACACAGUGUCGGAGUUGGAAGCAUGGUCCCUAAGUAGCCGAAACACCUUAGGAGACACAACUCACAACACAAACAAAAUUGGGUUAAGUUGAGGUGGCGGAAGUGUAUGGUGGGCAAGGUUAUGCGGAGGUGGUGGUGGUGGUUGAUGAAGAAGCAACCAUCCCUAAGUAGCCUAGACACCUUAGGAGACUCAAAUCACUUCUCAAGCAACCACUAAUGCGAUGGGGAACAAAAUUGGUUAGGUUGCGGAAGGCUAUGGUGGUGUAGCGGAUGAUAUGGUGGAGGGCCUAGGCAAACUUGCCAAAUUCAGAAAAUUUGAUGGAGUCAAAUGAUGUUGGUGGUAUUUUUGUGGUAAGGGGGAUGUCAAGAGCUUCAAAACGAGCUAAAGAACGUUAAAAACGGAGUUCGGAUGAAUUAGUUAUGGCCGAAACAAUAAUCAGCCGAAGUUGAUAUCUACAGGUAGCGGAUGUCCGGAAAAAACGGUCGUCCGGUCGCCGGACGUCCGGUCGGGUCGGAAAUCCGCUGAUUCUUCUCGGGUUAGGGGGUUCCGGUAAGGUCGGACGUCCGGUGGUUCCUGCGGCUCCGGACGUCCGGUAAGGUGACGGUCGUCCGGUGUAUCGGGGUCAACUCCAGAUCCGAGAUUCGGGACGCGAUUUUGGGCGGAAUUUGGGGAUUUUGGGGUCAAAAUUGAUGAGAUUUCGUGGAUGAAAGAUGGAGAAACUUGGGGAGAUGCUAUAUCCACUCGAAACCAAGCAAAUCCAUGGAUCAAAAUCAACAAAACAUCAUCAAACCAACAAAUCACAAAAAAAAAUUGGGGCUAUUUUUGGUGGGGAUUUUCGAAUUUAGGACGAAAUCAAGCAAAAGAAGGCUAGAAAACGGUGGGGGAGGCUCCGAAUCGUGAUUAACGUGGCUCAUGAUACCAAGAUGGUGUAGGGUAGAACCCUAGUGGCCCGAUCUUUCACGAAAGGAGAAGAUGCCGCAAAGAACGUGAAGAACAUGAGGAGGGAAACGAGGGGAAAAUCACGAGGGGAACACAAGAGAACACUCAAACCAACAAGAAUGAUCACACAUGCGCUAGAUCCAUGAACACAAAGGGAGAUACAAGAUCCAAAGUCAACAACGGACGAUACAAAGGGUAGCCGGUUAUUCUCCGUGAGGAGGUCUUGAAUCCACAAGGGGAUCUUCCCGUAAAGGGGUCUUGAAUAGAAGGUGGAUCUUCUCCGAAGAGGGGCCACGGUCUCUCUCAAGGAGUAGAUCCAAUAUGGAUGAGCGAAGCUCUAUCUCACAAAUGAGCUACCACAACGCUGACCCUAGAAAGGCGGAGGGAGAGGUCUAUUUAUAGUCUUAGUGUAAAUACAUGGGCCUCAACCCGCAACUGGACACAGUCAGGGGUCAGACGUCCGGUGGGCGUCGGACGUCCGGAGACUCACGGGCGGCCAGACGUCUGGUAGACGUCGGACGUCCGCUCGAUUUGGCUCGGACGCAGGAGUGCCGGAUUUCUGGAGGGGGCCAGUCGUCCGGUCGUCGGCCGCCGCUGGCGUCGGACGUCCGCUCAUUUGGCUCGGGUGCGGGAUCGCCGGUUGUCCGGUCUGGGCUGGUCGUCCGGUCCAGGCCGGUCGUCCGGUGGAUCUUUAGGCGCCGGACGUCCGGACCCGACCGGUCCUCCGGUGGCCGGAGCUUCUUCGACAGCUCUUCUUCUUUCAUCUUCGUUUCCACGCUUCCCUCGCGGAUGGUGUAGUUGUUCCUUGGCGUUUGCACUCCUCCUCAUCAUCCGUAGUGUUCCGACAAUACCUAUGCAUGCACACGAGUGGAGUGUCAAGUAGUAUACCAUCCUCGAAGGGGUCAAGUGAGCACGUGUAAAGGAGACGAUUCACCUUUAUGUAUGUGAAGUAGAUGUUGCACGUGUCACUUGCCAAACAGACUCUUAACAUGGUGAUGUCCAUAGGAUGCUCCGCAUCAUCUCCCCUCCCUUGGGAAAGAUCCAACCUCGAAUCAAAAUCCAAAUCACCAUGAGAAAGAGAUGGCGUCGCCGUGUAGGAGUGGUCGAUCACCAAGUUCUCAUCAUCUUGAAUCUCGAAAUGGGCACUCUCCAAUGUCGCACCGUCUAGUGAUUCCUUCAAAAUGAGCAAGGACAACAAACACUUGGAAAAACAAAUGUCGUUACCGUUAGUGCAAAACCAAGCAUUCAAGAGGUUAUUCACCAAACAAGUGUCAUCAUCAUGCAAAGCAUAUGGUUUGACAAAGGAUUGUGACAUGGCAUAUAAGCAUAUAAAGUGAGCACAAUCAAUGAUAUCAUGGGGACAAGAAUGUAAAUGUGAGGUAGUGAUGCAAAUAUGUGUGGCAAGAGAAGAAGCAUCUACCUCAAGUUCAUAGCAAACAUGGGUAAAGCGCUCAAUGAGAGGUCUAUGGUAGGCAUAUGAAUUAUUGACAACACCAAAAGAAAUGAAGUGUCUAAACACAUGGCUCAAGUGCAAGACAAUCCAAGCAUAACGUGCAUAGGGUGUAGUGAAGAUAGUGUGGCACUCAACACAAUAGAAAUAGCAAUUUUUCAUCAUGUGUGAGGCAAUCAAGGCAAGCAUGUAGCAAUUAAUGGGACAUGGCAUAUGUGAAGUGAUGACAUUGUUGCAACCAAACAUAUGAGAGGAGCAAGUAAUCCAAGAAUUGGAUGCAACACACAAGGCAUAGAUAUCAUGAUGCAUGGAAUAGUGAAAAUGACAAGUCGAAGCAAGAUCUCUAACAAGUGUGCAAUCAAGUGGUCCAAGUCUCAUGGUGCAAGCAACACAAGUAGUAUGAUCAACAAUAUUCAUGCUCAUGGUUUUGGGAUUCUCAAAAGAGAAGGAUAUCACCUUGAAAGCAUGUCCUUGUGUGUCCUUCACAAUGCCGAAGUACAAGCAAGUGCGAUGUAGAAUCAUCAUAGUAGGAGGUGGUUCGCUCUCAAGAGCUCGGAUUGUCAACUCACGUAACGUGGAAGUUGACACGAAGUCCAAGUAUCCUACACAUGCACACAACAGAAGAAAGAACGUAUGUGCAUGGUUGAUAAACACAUCAUCCAUCAUGAUGGUUCUCUUCUCUAGCACAUAACCAUUAGAAGCACAAGUGCGUGAAGAAUAUGAUGCAAAAAUGGCAAUAUUCAUGGCACUAGGUAUAUGGUGCAAAGAGGUAAGACAAGCAUGCUUCAUAAGGAAUAUGUCAAAAUCUCCAAAUAUAUGUGAGAAUGCUAUGGGGGCAAACUCAUUAUCAAGACUAAAUGCAUAAUUGCACUCAAUACAUGGUAAAUCAUCUAGCAUGAGAGAGGCAACAUAUGGAGAUAUAUGACGGCAAGCAAUAACAAUCAUGUGCAAAGCAUGUAGAUGGUUGUCAUCAACCGCAUGAAGCGAGAAAGUUUAAGUCAUCGGUGAUGCAACAAGGCAGGGAAACAUAGUAAUCAAGUCGUGCAAGCUAGUAGUGCGAAGAUGCAACAUACUAGAGUAAAUCAUGGCAAUCAUGUCAUGAGAGCAAAUAAUAGGCAUAGACAAUGCACAUGACAUAUCGCAAACACGAACACAAAGCAAGAUGAAAGUAUCAUCAUAUGCAUGGGGCACAAAGCAAACAUUGCAAUAACAAGCAAUAUCUCCACCAAGCUUGCAAAUACACAUACAAGUAUGAGAAUCUAUCAUCAUGUGUAAUGCAAAGCAAGAGUCACGAAUGCAUGGCAAAAGCAUAGUAAUGAGGAUAGCAUGCAAAGUGAACAUGGAAAGAUCGGCAUAGAAUAUGUAAUGGACUAUAAUCCAUAACCAUGUGAGGGACAUGUAGAAUAAAUGCACGAAGACUUCGCGUGAAGAGAGCGGUGGGAAAGUCAAUCCAUGGGAUCCCAAAUCAUCGUUGCUCUCUAGAGCUCGUUUUGUCAACUCGUGGGAUUGCGAGGUUGACAAGAAUUCAUGGGUACCUACACAAGAGAGACACAAACGAAAGAGAUUAUGCGUGUGGUAAAUGUACACAUCAUCCAUCAUGAUGUGUAUUUGCACGUGGAAGUUAGCACAAGAUAAGCAUCGCUCAAAGAAAUUAGAUGCAUGGUAUAAAAACAUGUCAUCCAUCAUGAAAGAAUAGUUAUUGUGUAUGACACGAUGGGGAUGCAAAUUUAGCAUACAAGUAUAAGGAUCAUGCAAUGGAUGGGAUGAAUCAAAAUCUCCUAAAAUGUAUGAGGAAACUAUGGGGGUCUCCCCAUGAGCAAUGUUGUAAACAUCACAUGGAGAAAAUGGACAACAUCCAAAACAAUGCAUAUCCGAAGCUAGGUGGUCAUGGCAUGGAAUAUGAGAUAAAGGAUGCAAAGGGAGCAUAUCAAUAUCAUCACAAGAAAAACAAAUGCCAAUAACCACGGGCUUGUCAUCUAUGCCAUAAGUGCAAAUUGGGUUAAUCUUAAUGGCAUAUGCAUAGUCACUAUGAAGAGAUUGCAAAUAUGACAUGUGGUCGAUCUCAUGCAUAGCAUAUGACAAGUCAAGCGGAUUGGCAAACAUGAUGUGACCUAAGGAAUUGUCACAAGAAAUCCUAUGCAACAUGGCAUCACAACUAAUAGACUUCACAUGAGAAUCAUCAUACUCAUCGUAAAUGGGUAAAUCAUCGCAUGGGGAAGUCACACUAGCAUGAAGCAUGGAAAUAGGUUGAUCAACAUCAUGCAAGCAAUCAAUGUCAUGAUAGUCCACUAAUGGGACAAGAGCAUCACCUUCACCUAUGUUACCUUUGUCAUUCCACUCACGUGGGGUAGGUGAGGUGGGUAAGACCGAAUGGUGGUCAAGAUCAUCAUUUGAUGGAACCAUGUGGGGGGUGCAUCAUAUUCCACCAUGGCCAUCGUCUUGUCCAAAGGUAGGACGUAGUCGUCGCGAAUCGGCGCAUCAUCACAUAUGGGACCUAGCACCAAAUGAGAAGACACAAUAGAGGUAGAGGUCAAGUCGUUAGUGUUGAAAGUGGCCUCACAUGACCUAUCAACUAUCUCACUCUCUCUAUGUGGUGGUUCACUCACUCCCUCAAAGUAGGUGCACUCAAUCUCAUGUAUGGUGGAGUCACUCAUCUCACUCAAGUGGUGGGGGUUGUGGCUCUCCUCACAUGGGAAUUGGGGUAACACAUCAUAUAUGGGGCUAGUGGUGAAGUCACUGUCACUCUCAAUAUGGUGGCAAAGGUCACUCAAGUUAUCAUACGUCGCCGUGGUCGAAGGGAAAAUCCCAUGCUCAACCAUCUCAUCGCCGUUGCCAUGGAUGAAGGCCGAAGAUGGCACAUCAUCACUCUCGCCUCCUAAGAUGGAAGCAUCAUCCUUGCUCGUCACCUUGUUGCUCGCCUCCAAGGUUCAUCUUUCUUGUCCAAGAUAGGCCCUUCAUUUGUAAGCAAAACAAAUGUAUCCAAUUUAGGUAGCAUCAUAUUCUCAUGAACAUUAGAAUUGUUACCAAGAAACGAAAGUACCUGAUAAUUCAACUGGCGUGCGCGAGCUCUAGUAAUUGGUCCAGUAUGUAUAGCAGUAGGGGCUGUGGGUGUAACAAUGGUAUUGAUGUCCUCAUCAGCUGUUGAAUCUCUUUCGUUCUCAUCAACUUAACUCAUUUGCAGUGUUCCUUGAAGACAAAUUGCAUACCUCGUCAAAAAAUUUGAUUGUUCAAAAUCCUCACAUGAAGAAUACGGCUGAUGGUAAAAGACCUCAGAAGGGAGGAAAGACACGAGAAGUGAAUACUACUUUGGAAAUCCCUAAUGAUAUCUAUGCAGGGUACUGCACUCCUGAUGAAGUAACUCAUGGCAAAGAGACGAAGAAUGAGCGCAAAGUGCGCAUUCAGAGGAUAGAGAGGAGAUGGGCCAGAGAAUGGAGGGAGUACAGAUAUGUGACUCCAAAGUACAAGAAGAAAUUCAUCGUACACCCUCCAUGCCCAAGACCUCCAUUGGCACCAGGCCAAGUUGCUGAUCUCACCAGCAUCAAAAGUGGUGAGGAUUUCCCCAAGGAGUGGGCCAAGCGGCAAGCUAAGUUGGCCAAAGUGGCCAAAGAAGCAGUGAAGAAAUUCAAUGAAGAUCCUACUGCUGCCGCUGCUGAGGCCUCUACUAGCAAGCCUAAGAAGGCAAUGCUGAAGAUACCUGCUGCCAAGCUAAGUUCCUCAGUUGCUUCGUCAUUCCAGAUGAAAGUGAUGAUGAAAAUCCUUCUGCUGCUUCAUCAGAGAAGUUGGAUGAAGAAAUUUAAGUGGAUAAUACCCCUUCUACUCCGCUGGCAUCAUCGCCCAUGCCUCAAUUCACAGCUGAAGAGGUCGGCCUUGAAGAAAUUGAUGAAGAAGAUGAGGAUGUGGACAUUGGGUCAACAACUCCUAUUCUGAAUGAUGACUACUAGGAAAGUCAUCACCCCAAUUCACCUCUGACAACUCCUCUACAUCAACUUCCUCAGUCCCAGAUCCAAACAGAAGAAGUUCAUAUGGGCUCUGAAGGACAUCAAGCUUCACCUCUAUCUAUUCUAGAAGAAGUUCUAGUCGCUAGUGCUGAAGAAAUGGAGGCCAAUACUACUGUUGAUGAAACUGCUACUGAAAUUCCUCAUCCUGUGGCUCCACAGGUUGUGCAUCAAGAGGUUGUGAAAACUUCAACUAACAAUCUUAAGCCCAAUCCACAUAAUCCUCACACCAAGAAGCAAAAAUUCAAAGAUGAUGACCUCUUUACUGAGUAUCAUUUCUUCUCUGACUACAAUCCUUAUGACUCUGCCCAACUUCGUCGCAAGCGUUUCAGGACGGACAGUCAAAUGAAUUUCAAUUCCUUGCUGUUGUUUGAUAAGGACAAGAUUUUUGACCAUGAGCAAAUUCCUCAUGUGGAUAUGCAGUCUCUUCCAUGCUUCACGCCAGUCCUCAGUGUUCUUCAUGAUGCUGGGCUGCUCAACUUCUGCACCGACAUCUGUGACUGGAAUGAAGAACUCAUUCUUCAGUUCUAUCCCAUGUUGCACAUCACUGGCAAUGUUGAAGAUGUGAAUUCAUGGGUUCUUUACUAGAUGACCAAAAACACUCAUUACAAAGCUACGACCUCUGAAUUGCUUCACGUCGUCCCAGUAAGUCCUCCCACUGAAGGUGCGAGGCUCAUUAAUGCAGAACCAGAACUUUCAAAUCAUCUGAUGCAAGUGCUGAUGAAGCCAAUGAAGCCUGGCAAAGCUCCAAGGACCACAUUCCUCAUCAACAAAUUGCUUUAUGUGCCAAGGACUGUCUAUCGCAUAUUGACCAAAACCCUUAGUCCGAUCAAGGGCCACAACUCUGACGAAGAAGAGGUUGUUGGCACAAUGAAGAAUCUGCUAUUCAAUAUCAUACAUGGUAUUCCUAUCAACUACCAUGAUUUCUUCAUGACUUACGCUCCCUAGAUUAUGAAAUUUAUCAAAUCAAGGUCUUUAACUCAUUACAAGGCUGAUUGUCAAAAUCAUCUUAGCUACUUGCCACCCAUUAAAGUCCUCAAAAGGAUUAUUUCCUCAGCUGAUGAGAAGGGUAAGGCUGCUGUCAUUGAUGAAGGCACUCGUCCAUUGGAUGGAAAGUUUCGCAAAGCUACAUCAUAUUCCACCAAUGACAACUCUGUAACGCAUGAUACUGCCGCAAAUGCUUCAAAGCAAUAUCCUCAAGCCACUGCUCCGCGUGUGAUGACUGGCCGUGAGCUUCUCCUCACUCUACAUCAAAAAGUUGAUAGAAAUCACAAGUGGGUCAAGCGUCAGUUUGGUGCAAUUCUUCAGAACAUGACAGUCACUCAGAAUAUUGUGAAGAAGAACCACUACUACUUGCAUGAAGUAUUUGACCACACUUGAGCUAUUCUGUCUAACCUCUACAGUGCCGAAGAUCUCAAGGAGAUGAACUUCCAACAGGACUUUGACUGGGCACAACCACCUUCGAAGAAAUUCAAGAGAGUCAAAGUUCCUCACUUGGUCGCCAGCUCAUAUUCCUCAUCAUGCGAGAUGGAUGAAGCUGAAGAUUUGACCAACACCACGACAGGCGCUACUCCAACGGACGACCCCAACAAUGUUGGCACUCCUCCAUCGACAUCUUGAUGAUAUUCUUCAGGGGCGUUAGUCCUCAUUUUUAGUCCCUUUUGGUCAUUCGAUGACAAACGGGGAGAAAUGUGAGUUAGUCUUCAAGCGGGUCUCUAUAUAUGGGCAUUUUUUUGUUAAGUUACAACUCCAUGUGGUAUGUACUAUUUUGUUCGCAUGCCAUUCAGAUUAAAGAGUGCCGGGUCCACUUUUACAAGGGCAGUCCAGAUUGGUUUUGAGCCACGGCUGCACAGAAACAUAGAAGCCUAUAUGGAUGAUAUUGUGGUCAGGACCAAGGAUAGGGCCACCCUUAUUCAUGAUUUGGAAGAGACAUUUGCUAAUCUGCGCAAGAUCAAUUUUAAGCUCAACCCAUAGAAGUGUGUAUUUGGUGUUCCCUCUAGCAAGUUGCUUGGGUUCAUUGUGUCACAUCGCGGGAUCAAAGCCAACCCUGACAAGAACAAAGUUAUCGAGCAGAUCCAAGCACCAAGGAUAGUUAAGGAUGUAAGGCGUCUAACAGGAUGCGUUGCCUAUAUGGAUGAUAUUGUGGUCAGGACCAAGGAUAGGGCCACCCUUAUUCAUGAUUUGGAGGCGACAUUUGCUAAUCUGCGCAAGAUCAAUUUGAAGCUCAACCCAUAGAAGUGUGUAUUUGGUGUUCCCUCCGGCUAGUUGCUUGGGUUCUUUGUGUCCCAUUGCGGGAUCGAAGCCAACCCUGACAAGAUCAAAGCUAUCGAGCAGAUCCAAGCACAAAGGACAAUUAAGGAUGUAAGGCGUUUGACAGGAUGCGUUGCCUCGCUAAGCAGAUUCAUCUCCAAGUCUGCUGAGCGCGCCCUGUCGUUCUUCAAAAUUCUGAAGAAGGCACCCCGGAAGCAGAUGCACCUUUGUAAGAGUUGAAGGCCUACUUAUCCUCUGUGCCUACCCUGAUUUCUCCCAAACCCCAGAAUCGUUGCUGUUGUACAUUGCGGCAACCAACCAAGUGGUCAGUGUAGCCUUAGUAGCGCAGCGAGAAGUGGAUGAGCCACAGAGUUAGCAAGGACCGGCGGAGUCAGAGAAGGAUCAGGACAGCAAUGAGCACGACAACGAGAGCAACCCCAAGGACGUGGUAAGGAAGAAAGUGGUGCAACGCCCAGUGUACUUCGUCAGAUCCUUGUUACAGGGGGCUAGAUUGAUGUAGUGUGGCAUGCAAAAGUUGAUCUUUGGUCCCAUCAUGGCCUCAAGGAAAACUGCGCCACUACUUCCAAGCCCAUGAGAUCACGGUUGUCACUCGUUUCCCGUCGCAGAGGAUACUCCGAAACCCUGAGGCUACCGGCAAAAUAGUGGAGUGUGCUUUGGAGUUGUCCAGUUUUGGUUUGAAGUUUGAGAGCACAUCAACUAUUCAAAGCAAGGCACUGACAGAGUUUAUUGCAGAGUAGACGCCAGCCACUGAUGAGGAAGUGAUAGAGACAGUUAUCCCCGGCAAGGAUCGCCCCAAGAAUGGAUUUUGUAUUUUGAUGGUGCUUUUUCCCUACAAGGUACAUGAGAUCACGUGCUUCUUGUCGCCCCCUCGGGGGAGAACUUGAAGUAUGUCGUCCAAAUGCAUUUUGCCCGAGAAGAAGCGACCAACAACACAACAAAGUAUGAAGGGCUCCUUGCCGGGCUCAGGAUUGCAGCUGAAUUGGGGAUUAAGAAGCUGAUCAUUCGAGGAGAUUCACAACUUGUGGUGAGACAAGUCAACAAGGAUGACCAAAGUCCAUUGAUGGAGGCAUACAUCAAGGAAGUGAGGAGAUUGGAGGAGCGCUUUGACGGAUUGCAAACAGAGCACGUGCCACGUGUGAAAAUUAGAAUAGUUGAUCAUCUGUCAAAGUGUGUUGCUCAGAAGCUUCCUGUGGAACCAAGGACUUUUGUUCUCCAUCUCACUCAGCCCUCCGUAUCCCCAGCAACAAUGGCCCGUAAAAGGAGAAAGUUCGACUCCGGUAUGCCUCUCCCGCUAGAGUCGUCCGCUCCUGGUAGAGCCCCUGCCAGAAACAACUCCUCACAGCCUACCGGACCGCACCCUCCAUCCGGGCCCAUGGACCCCAUGAAUGAGGCAUGUGCUCCCGCAGCAAAGGAGGUGCCGCUAGUCCUUGUUUCUGAGCCCAGGCUCCAACUUGGGCAAGCACAUUGUUCACUUCCUCCAAACCGGAGAGCUUCCCCGCGGGCCAGUAUGUAUCAGUUCAUCGAUGACACUCUGUACAGAAGAAGGCCCAACGGUGUGAAAUUGAAGUGUGUCUCCCGAGAAGAAGGAAAGGAAAUGCUGGCUGAGAUACACAAAGGCAUGUGAAGCUCCCACUUUGGAUCAAGGGCAUUAGUUGGAAAGCAUUCCGGCAAGGAUACUAUUCGCCCACAGCCCUCCAAGAUGCGUUCAAGCUAGUCACCAAAUGUGAAGCCUGCCAGUUCCAUUCCAAGAAAACCCACCUGCCUGCCCAAGCUCUUCAAACAAUCCCUCUAUCAUGGCCAUUUUCGGUCUGGGGGCUCGAUAUUCUCGGCCCCUUCCCUUGAGCAAUCAGGGGCUUUGAAUUCUUGUUUGUUGCUAUCGACAAGUUUACAAAGUGGCCGAAGUGGCUGCCGUGAGAAAGUUGACUGCUCAAUUAGCCAUCAAGUUCUUAAAAGAAUUGGUGUGUCAUUUCGGGGUUCCGGCAAGGAUCAUUACCGACAACGGCACCCAGUUCAUGAGCCACGCCUUCAUGUAAUAUGUUCAGGCCCUCGGAUGCAAGAUCUCACUUUCCUCUAUGGCACACCCCCGGAGCAAUGGACAAGAUGAGAGGGUGAACGCUGAAGUGCUGCGUGGACUCAAGAUGAGAACCUUUGAUACGCUGUAGAAGCACGACAGACGAUGGAUCGAGGAGCUGUCGGUGGUUCUCUGGUCCCUCAAAACGACACCUAACUGAGCUAUCGGGCAGACUCCCUUCUCCCUGGUCUACGGGGCAGAAGUAGUUAUCUCCACUGAACUCAUUUAUGGGUCUUCUCGAGUGCUUGUCUAUGAUGAAGUAAUGCAAGAUCAGCAUCGACGUGACGACGUUGUGCUACUCGAGGUGAACCGUCUCCGGGCUACUACGUGUGCUGCACGCUAUAAGCAAGCCUUGCGUCGCUAUCAUAGCCACAGGGUUCACGCCUGGUGUUUUGAGAAAGGUGACCUUGUCCUUAGGCACGUUCAGUCCGCCAAGGGUACAAACAAGUUGUCACCGAAGUGGGAAGGCCCUUACCGGGUACUACAAGUCACCAGACAUGGAGCAGUUCGUUUGGAGACCAGAGAUGGCAUUCAGUUGCAAAAGUCAUGGAAUAUUGAGCAUCUCGACAAGUUCUAACCGUAAGGCAUGGCUGUCAGGCCCUGCCCAGCAGCCACCCAUUUGUACAAGCCUUGGCUCUCCUGCAUGUAACCCCUUGUACAAAGCCAGGGCGAUGAUCCUGUGCAACAGAAAAUAAACAAGCGUUAUGGGGGCCCCUGACCAAGAUUGCAUGCAUGCAUGAGCAUUCCAAAGAUCACUGCAUAAGAAUUUCAUAAGCAUUUUCACAUGCAUAUAGAUAGGAUCGCAUCCUACAUUCAUUCUCAUUUGCAUGAAGCUGCAGGUUCCUGCCGUGAACUUGGCUUUGACAAGGAGUUGAGAAGAUUGCCCGGCACUGCGAUCCCCGACAAGCCAAACAAGAUAAGUUCUAACUCAUGUCCGUUAGUGUUCUGUAAGCUAUAACUUGUGCAUAAGAAAACCUUGCCACUCUUUUGAGACUUAGGUGCACCCAUCCCUGACUCGAACAUUGCUUUGGUCAGGAUGGUCGCAGUGGCCUUUGGUAAAAAGAAGUUGGCAGGGGCUGGUCCCUUUGUCUUUUGCCCAGUAGACACAGCUCUUCAGUGGACAAAAAGGGUGCCAGCAGGAUAGCCUACCGGGGAAAACUCGUUUAUGUACACUAAAGAGGAACCUCACCUCUACAUGGACAUACACAUGUACUGGUUCCCGGCAAGGUUCAUCUUUUUCAUUAAUAUGCUGAUACAAGUACAAGCAUUACAGAACACAAACAUGGACUCGAGAGAUUAGAUUAUUUGAACUAAAAUUCGGCAAGUGCCUAUAGGUUUAACAUUGAAAAAAGAUAAGUGCCCCGUAAUCCCCUCUUUUCGUUUUCCCUCCAUCAGGCACUGCGGCGGAAGGAGGAAAAGACGAGAACAGGGCACCCAAGCAGGAACCCAUCCUGGUCUCAUUGAGACCCACUCGGCACGGCCGGACAAGACCGGGAGUGGCGAGGCUCCGAAGGAGGAGUACGGAGGAUGGGGUGGAGACUAGAGAGCCAGCAAGAAGCCCUGGCUUGAGCACUGGUGGAGUCAUCCACCAAAUCUCAGUCAGAAGACUGCUGGAGGGGAGGCGAAGGCGCCAAGAGAUUAUCCCACCCCGGCUAUCACCCUAGGAUGCUGGUGAUGAUGAUGCCAGGGGGGAGGGGAAGACCGGAAAGAUGAGGUGGCAGGUUGCUGGUUAGAGGCGAAGGCAUCCAUGACAUCGUACUCUGACCUGACCCCCUGCCACCCGCCAUCUCCGUCUUCCCUCGUUUUCUCCUCAACACCACUGCUCCCGACAAGCACCAAGACUCCAGUCCGGCACCUUUCCAGGGGAAACGGCGAGUGGCCAAGAUGGCUAGGGGGCUUGAGGCGCACCGCUCCCCACCUUGGCGGGCAGGAAGGCGCGCCUGUCGUCGACAUCAGCCCCAAGAAUUCAGGGAGGGGUAGUGCUGGGAUUACCAAUGAUCUCUAGCCCCGCCUCCUGGCUGAGCCUGGAACAAACCAAGAGAUUCGCCACAGCAAGGACCAUGCUCACUCCCCGAGCGCUAACACCAGCAUUUGGCAACACUAGCCCCAACCAAGAGCCUGGGGGCUGGCCCAGGCUUCAGCAUAGCUAACAAGAAGCAGAAGACAGAAGACGAAGAAUGCGAGGGUGGAUGACUACGACCUCCUUUUGUCCCUCCUUUUAUAGGCGGGCUGGGGGGAGAGCCGCUCCCUCAACGGACGGCCACCGUCCUCCUCCACCAAUUCAAGAUGACCGGGCCCUCGCCUUGAUUCUCUCCAACGCCAUGUGCCUCUGUUACCUACCCCGUGUGAUGCAUGCAGCAUACGUGGCAAAGGAUAAGGGCAUGGUGGGAAGAGUGAAUUGGCGGUUUCUACCCCGUGCGUUAAAGUCAUUCAUGGGCCAUUACUGGAGCGACCCCACCACUAUUGGCUUUCCACGAAGCACAGAGAAACCGGAAACUGGCCCAGAAUCAAGGCUAAUGAAGAAGCAAAGAAGACCUCAAGAGACCAACCUCUUCAGCAACCCUGCAUGUGCACUUAUUAGGCCCUACACCGAUGAUGCUCGGCAACGCUUUUGGGGAAGGCCCGGGGGCUUCUGUCGAUGCAAUAAACCCUGGGUCUGUUGCCCAUACUAUGCACAGGCACGGGGACGAGAUUGGAGCACCAACCCAAGUCAGAGUACAAGGGACCAAUGGAUUCGAAGAACCAACAUGCAGAUCAGAGGGACCAAGAUCAAGCCAGAGAAGCAAGAUACCAUCAGGAAGGGCCUCCUUUGCUGGGCAAGCGAGCUCGGCAAGGGGUGAGGCCACCCCUGGAAGAAGACGUCCAAGACGUCCCGGCAGGGCCUACCGGGACACACGGAGGCAAAACCACCUCACCAACCACAACGUCACGACCCACAUCAUUAAUUAGUGCAGUGUCAAGCCGCAAAGUGACUAAGUGGCAGCCAUUCACCACACGGCAGCCUCUCCCUACAGGAAAUACCUGCAGAUGACACCCGUCCUGCAACGUGUCAAGUGAACAGGCGUAGAGCUGACGAGAUAUCCCGGCAAGCCUUGCUGGGAAACCAAUGAUGUGACAUUGAGUGGUGCAUUUAAUGCACCCUGUCAGCCUUUAGAGUCAGGGAUGAUAGCACCGUUCGCUAUCUUAUCAGUGCAUAAUGACUACUUUGCCAUUGUGGUAACCCCUUGAUCUAUAAAAGGAGGCCCAUCGAAACCGUAGAAAGGGCUAGAAGGUUGGAUAACUCACACCCCCGUACGUGCGUAGCCACGACCGCCAUGAGGCGACCCCUGUCGGGAAAGUGUACUACGCUCCACCAACACCUUUCCACCAUCAAUCCACCAAAGCAGGAGUAGGGUUUUACGCCUCACGGUGGCCCAAACAUGGGUAAAUAUGCCUGCAUGAUCUCUGCCAUGCUGCCCCACGCUCGUCUGCUCUUUGUGCAAUGCAACGCCCCCCUGCCGAACCAGCAAGGGGCCUUCUGGUCCCAUAGGUGGCCGUGAUUUCCCACGACAAUGGAGAACAAAAGUCCCUAGUUCCAUAGGAAUCUUCUGUGCAGUGCACUUUGACAGAUGAUCAGCUAUGUUAUUUUCGACAUGGGGUAUGUGCUCUGUUUGCAAUCCGUCAGAGCGCUCCUCCAAUCUUCUCACUUCCUCAAUGUAUGCCUCCAUCAAUGCACGUUGGUAGUCCUUGUUGACUUGUCUCACCACGAGCUAUGAAUCUCCUUAGAGGAUCAGCUUCCUAAUUCUCAAUUCUGCGGCAAUCCUUAGCCCAGCAAGGAGCCCUUCAUACUCUCCUGUAUUGUUAGUCGCCUCUUCUCGGGCAAAAUGCAUCUAGACAACUUACUUCAAGUGCUUGCCAGAGGGGACAACAAGAAGUACGCCAGCCCCUGCAACUUAUAGGGAAAAAGCACCAUCGAAAUACAUGAUUCAUUCUUGGGGCGCUUCCUUGUCGGGGAUAACUGUAUCCAACACUUCCUCAUCAGGGGUGGCGUCCAUUCUACAAUAAACUGUACCAAUGCCCUGCUCUGGAUUGUUGAUGUGCUCUCAAACUUUAGGCCAGAACUGGAUAACUCCAAAGCCCACUCCACUAUCCUGCCGGUAGCCUCAGGGUUUUGGAGUAUCCUUUGCAAUGGGAAGCGAGUGACAACCGUGAUCUCAUGGGCUUGGAAGAAGUGGCACAGUUUCCUUGAGGCCAUGAUCAGACCAAAGAUCAAUUUUUUUCACGCCAGAGUACCUCUUUCGAGCUCCUUGUAGCAGCGAACUGACAAAGUACACUGGGCGUUGCACCACUUUCUUCCUUUCCGUGUCCUCGGGAUCGCCCUCGCUGUCGUGCUCAUUUCUGUCCUGAUCCUUAUCUGGGUCUACCGGGCCUUGCUCACUUGUUGCAUCAUCCACUUCCCACUGUGCCACCAAGGCUGCGCUAACCACUUGAUUGGUUGCCGCCAAGUAUAGCAACAGUUUCGGGGGUGGUGUGUGUCUGUGUGAGCGGUGGUUUUGGGGAGUGUGUGGUGUGUGUGGAGGAGGGGGCAAGGUGGUGUUUGAGGAAAUACUGCGGCAAUUGAAAAAAUUCCUAGGCGGGAGUAACAAGGUGGGCUACUGAAAAUUUGGAUCAAGGGCGAGCAGGUAUUUUUGAGAUUGCGAGGGAUGCAGAGGCGGGAGUAAAAUGCCGGGGCUACUAAAAAUUUGAAUCAAGGGACUGAAGCAGAGCCGGAGUAACACACAUCGCACACGGUCCGCACAUACUAAUUGUGGGCUAUCAAACAUUAAAACCUUCCAGGCGGUAGAUAUUUUCGAGAUUACGAGGCAGCAAUAAUUUCGAGAUUGUGAGGGAUGCAAAGGCAGGAAUAUUUGGGGAGCGAGGUAGUGUGCUUGACACACCGGCUGUGGACUGUAGCCGACGCACUUUCUCGCGUAAGCCAUAGGCAUACUAUACACCGAGAGUGCUCCAGGAUAUUUUGUACUGCAUCUCACACGGUUGGUGAUAAUAAACUGUGUGGGAUCUACUUGAUUUUUCAUCUUGAUUUGAAUUACAUAAUGGGGUCAUAGAGGCAAUAGACGGUGUUUGAAUUGCUAGACCUUUUAUCUGCAGUGAACAUGCAACUAUAUGUGUGUCGUAAAAGAAUUGGAAUUAUUCAGGGUUUGUUUGGACAUUCUAUACAUUAAAUUGGUUUCUAGCCAUUUUAGGUGCACAAUUCAAAAUUAAACUACAUGUACAUGCUCCUGUGCACCAACAUGGGUGGUAAAAUCAUAUAUGUGUCCAUGGGUUUAUGCUUAUGUCCCAUGCAAGAAAUGGGGAUGAAUUACAAACACCACGGCACCGUGGCUCUCCAGCAAACGUCGACGUACUUGCUUUUGUACUUCUAGUAAAUCCAAAAUGUGUCUGAAAUUCAUGAAACUUGGCAUGCUAUCAUGGAGCGGCAUCAACAUGCCGUGGUAAUUUUUUUUUGUCACAGGUAGAUUAUACCAAAUAGAAGUAUCUUGCUAAAUUUGGGAAUUAUUGCGGGUUCGUUUGGCCUUUUUUAUACAUUAAUUGAAUUUUUGGGAAUUUAAUGUGCAUAAUUCAAAUUUGAACUACAAGCACAUGCUCCGGUGCACCAAAGAUGGUUGAAAAAUCACAUGUGUGUCCUUGGGUGAAUUUCUAGGUCCCAUGCAAGAAAUGGGAAUGAAAUUCAAACAUCUAUGCGUCGUGGCUUGGCCGGAAAGAUUGAGAAACUUGGUUUUUUAAUUCAUGUAAAUCCAAAACACGCAUGAAAAUCAUGAAACUUGGCAUGGUGUCAUGACAUGGUACCAACAUGCUGUGGUAAAUUUUUUGGCCGAAUUGGGACAAGCUUUGUUAUAAGCUGCUUGCAAACUGGAGCUUCUCUCCAGAAAGCUCGUGGUUCCGAGAGAGAACAUGUCACCUCCGUGUGCGAAACGACAUACGUACACUGCCUUCUCCCACCAUAAUUUUUUACACAGGCAGAUUAGACCAAAUAGAAGAAUCAUGGUAAAUUUUGGAAUUAUUCUGGGUUUAUUUGGCCUUUCUUAUACAUUAAUUGAAUUUCUGGGCAUUUAAUGUGCAUAAUUCAAAUUUCAACUACAAGCACAUGCUCCAUUGCACCAAAGUUGGUUCAAAAAUCACAUGUGUGUCCUUGGGUGAAUUUCUAUCCCAUGCAAGAAAUGGGAAUGAAAUCCAAACGUAUAGGCGUCGUGGCUCGGCCGGAAAGAUUGAGAAACUUGGUUUUUUAAUUCCUGUAAAUCCAAAACACGCUUGAAAAUCAUGAAACUUGGCAUGGUGUCAUGACAUGGCACCAACAUGGUGUGGUAAUUUUUUUGUCCUAUUUGUGAAGGGGCACACAUUAACAAUCAACAAAGUCAUUUUGGAACAAGAGUUGUCACGUUACAAAUCAGAAACAUAACUAUUAUUGAAAACCGUGGGCGUUCUACUUACCAAUUACGUGCCGCCACGCGUUCCAUUUUUUAUUGGCUAGGAGGUGCCAUGUGGGGUAGCUAUUUGAGUGCGGGAGGCGUGCGAUCGGACCCCUGCGUGUGCUCAUCGGGAGGAGAGCCCUUUGACCUCUAUCCGCCGUGCACCUCCCUCCCAAUGUCUCCAUUAAUGGCACCCAAGCCCAUGUUUCACGGCAUGGCUAUGUCUCACUGGACUAAGAUUCAAGAGAGAAAAAUGAAAAUCUGAGAAGAUAGUUUUGCAUGGAUCUUGAUGUAAGAUCCGACGGACCUGUAUAGCAUGGACUGCGACUUCUAGCAAGCAUGAUGAAUAUAAGGACGACAGUGGAUAAUAAUUGUCUUACAUAUUUAGGAACAUAAUUAAAAAAAGCCACAUGCGGCAACACUCGAAAUACACAAGGGCAAAAGAAGAAGGAAGACAAUGAUCUGGCUCGCUGAUCUCUACUUUCUUGAUGUGUUGCUGCAGGCCGCGGGAACUAGUCUCCGCAACGAUCGGCGAUGAGCUCUUUCCUGUCCUCAAUAUGCUGCUUGAGAGCAUCCACUGAUUCCUCCACCAGCCUUUUGUGCUUCAUGUGCAGCACGGCAUUCUCGUCCAUAAGUUUCUCAAUGAUGACGCUGGUCCUCUUUGAUAGAGGCUAAGGUGUCCCGAUGUUUCGAUGAGAUGGUGGCUAUCGUUUUCUGUGGGAGUCGACCUUGACGAUCCGACUACGAACGUGCGAGCGUCGUGCCUUAGCAAUCGCUAAACCAACUUCCGAGGGUUAUUGACCACGCCGGAGCACGAACAACCUGACCACGAGGGUCUGUUUCCUGCGAGCAAACGAAGAACAAGCAAGAAACUGAGAUUGCAAUCGGGAUAUUGCGAAUAUAAGAUGAAAGCUUUAUUGAUCAAGGUGGGGUUCUGUGACGUCUUGGUCUGGUCGUUGGAUACAAACGAAGUACGCGAAGUUGCAGCUAUGGCGAACUUUUAAUCUAAACAAAACCCAAAGUCUAAAUGACGCCCUAAGGGCUGUAUAUAUGGAGGAAGAGGAGGGAAUUUCGUGGCCCUUGAGGGUGGGGUCCGAAACCAACCCUAACUCUUGUUUCCCCACACAUACGGACUCUAAAAAUAGCCUAUACUUAAGUAUUUCGAAACUACAUGGGCCUGGGCCAUUAAUAAGGUGACGCAGCACCUAGAAUAGCCUAUGGACGAAUAUUAUGAAGUGGCAUCUUGUAUAUUUCGUCCAAGGCUUCAUUCACUCCUUAUGGCGGCUUCAAAGUCCUGAAAUCAUCACUUGCAACUCCGUUCUUGAUCCCCUUGCGCAUGCCAUCAACUCCAUGCGUGUUCUUGCUCCAAUGUCCAUCCUUCUCCAAGCUAGGCCCUUCAUUUGUAAGCAAAACAAAUGUAUCCAAUUUAGGCAGCAUCAUAAUCUCAUGAACAUUAGAAUCAUUACCAAGAAACGAAAGUACCUGGUAAUUUAAUUGGCGUGCGCGAGCUCUAGUAAUUGGUCCAGUAUAUGUAACAGUAGGGGCUGUGGGUGUAACAAUGGUAUUGAUGUCCUCAUCAUCCUCCCCUUCUUGAAAUGAAGCCGUCCUCGACAGAAGCGGAUCUUCCUCACCCAAAUAAGGCUUCAAAUCUGCAAUAUUAAAAGUGGGACUAACCCCAAAAUCUACAGGUAGCUCAAGUUUAUAUGCAUUAUCAUUUAUUUUCUCUAACACCUUAAAAGGACCAUCAACACGUGGCAUUAGCUUUGAUUUGCGCAGAUUAGGAAAUCUAUCUUUACGCAAAUGUAACCAAACAAGAUCUCCAUGCGCAAACACAACAUGUUUUCUACCCUUAUCUCCAGCAAGUUUAUAUUUAGCAUUCAUACGCUCAAUGUUUUCCUUAGUUAACUCAUGCAUUUUUAAAAUCAAUUCAGAACAUUCUUUAGCAUCAAAAUUAACCUUCUCUGAAGAUGGAAGAGGCAACAAAUCAAUAGGUGCACGAGGUAGGAAACCAUACACAAUUUCAAAAGGGCACAUCUUAGUAGUAGAAUGCAAUGAACGAUUAUAAGCAAAUUCAAUAUGAGGCAAGCAUUCUUCCCACAUUUUCUUGUUACUCUUCAAAACAGCCCUAAGCAUAGUAGACAAUGUUCUAUUGACUACUUCAGUUUGUCCAUCAGUUUGGGGGUGACAAGUAGUACUAAAAAGCAGCUUAGUCCCCAACUUAGCUCAUAAACAUCUCCAAAACUGGCUAAGAAAUUUAGUAUCACGAUCUGAAACAAUAGUAUUUGGCACACCAUGUAAGCGAAUAAUUUCACGAAAGAACAAAUCAGCAACAUUAACAGCAUCAUCGCUUUUAUGACAUGGUAUAAAGUGUGCCAUUUUCGAGAACCUAUCCACGACAACAAAUAUGCUAUCCCUCCCCUUCUUUGUUCGAGGAAAACCUAAAACAAAGUCCAUAGAUAUAUCCUCCCAAGGAACACUAGGUACAGGCAAAGGCAUAUAUAAACCAUGAGGAUUGAGUCAUGACUUAGCUCUUUGACAUGUAGUGCAGCGAGCAACAAAACGCUCAACAUCCCGUCUCAUCUUUGGCCAAAAGAAAUGUGUAGCAAGUAUAUCCUCCGUCUUCUUGACGCCAAAGUGUCCCAUUAAUCCUCCUCCAUGCGCCUCCUGCAACAACAAAAGACGAACUGAGCUAGCUGGAAUCCAUAGCUUGUUAGCACGAAACACAAAUCCAUCGUUAAGAACGAACUUGUUCCAAGUUCUCCCUUCCUUACAAUUCUGCAAUACAUCUUUAAAUUCAGCAUCAUGAACAUAUUGAUCUUUGAUGGUCUCCAAACCAAGUAUUUUAAAGUCAAGUUGUGAAAGCAUAGUAUAACAACGAGACAAGGCAUCAGCAAUAACAUUUUCUUUACCCCUCUUGUGUUUAAUGACAUAAGGGAAAGUCUCAAUGAAUUCAACCCAUUUAGCAUGUCUACGGUUAAGUUUUGCUUGACUUUUAAUGUGUUUCAAAGAUUCAUGAUCAGAAUGUAUAACAAGUUCCUUGGGCCAUAAAUAAUGUUGCGAUGUUUCUAAGGUCCGAACAAGAGCAUAUAAUUCUUUAUCAUAAGUAGAAUAGUUCAGACUAGGCCAACUCAAUUUUUCUGAAAAGUAUGCAACAGGUUUUCCAUCUUGUAAUAACACACCUCCUAAUCCAAUUCCACUAGCAUCACAUUCAAGCUCAAAAGUCUUAUUGAAAUUAGGAAGUUGGAGUAAAGGAGCAUGUGUCAACUUAUCUUUCAAUACCGUAAAGGCUUCUUCCUGUGCGGUACCCCAAACAAAAGGCACAUCCUUCUUUGUAAGCUCGAUGAGAGGUGCAGCAAUGGUGCUGAAAUCUCUCACAAAACGCCUAUAGAAACCAGCGAGGUCAAGGAAACUCCUCACUUGUGUGACCGUUUUGGGCUGCGGCCAACUCUCAAUAGCUUCAAUCUUGGCUUUAUCAACUUCAAUUCCCUGUGGAGUAACAACAUAGCCAAGAAAAGAUACUCGGUCGGUGCAAAAGGUGCACUUUCCAAGGUUUCCAAACAAACGUGCAUCACGUAGAGCAAUAAAAACAGCACGUAAAUGUUCCAAAUGUUCCUCCAAAGAUUUGCUAUAAAUCAAUAUGUCAUCAAAGUAAACUACCACAAAUCGUCCAAUGAAAGCACGUAAAACUUCGUUCAUUAACCUCAUGAAAGUACUAGGUGCAUUAGUUAACCCAAAAGGCAUGACUAACCACUCAUAUAAUCCAAACUUAGUUUUAAAUGUUGUUUUCAAUUCAUCGCCCAAUUUCAUACGAAUUUAAUGGUAUCCACUACGCAAAUCAACUUUGGAGAAUAUUGUAGAGCCACUCAAUUCAUCAAGCAUAUCAUCUAGCCUAGGAAUAGGAUGACGAUAACGAAUAGUAAUAUUAUUAAUGCCUCUACAAUCAACGCACAUACGCGAUGUACCAUCCUUUUUCGGCACUAAAAUGAUAGGAACAGCACAAGGACUAAGGGAUUCGCGUAUAUAACCUUUGUCAAAAAGUUCUUGUACUUGACGCAUAAUCUCCUUCGUCUCCUCUGGAUUGGUACGGUAUGGUGCACGGUUGGGUAGCAAAGCACCGGGAAUUAAGUCAAUUUGAUGCUCAAUCCCUCGAAUAGGUGGUAAUCCCGGUGGCACGUCUUGUGGAAAAACGUCAGUGAACUCCUGCAAAAUGUUAGUGACAACGGGGGGCAAAGAGGAAGGCACGUCCUCGAAUGAAAAUAAUGCCACUUUGCACACAAAAGCAUAGCAAACAGAUUUGCUAAAAUCUAGCUCAUCAAUAUCAGAUUUGGUGGCAAGUAAACAUGCACUUUUCAAUUUAAUUUCAGAAACAACAGUAGAUGGUUUAUUAUUAGGCUUCAUUUGGUGCUCAAAUUCUUUUGCCACAAUCUGAUUUUCACUCUUAUUUGUCUCCUGUUUUGCUUUAUUAGCUCUAUUAAUAUCAUCUUUCAAAAUGGAAUCAGGAGUCAUAGGAAGCAAAGUAAUAUUUUUAUCGUUAUGAACAAGAGUAUACUGAUUGUUUCUACCAUGGUGUACAGAAUUUUUAUCAAAUUGCCAUGGUCUACCAAGUAAUAAGGAACAUGCUUGCAUAGGUACCACAUCACAAUCAACAUAAUCAGCAUAUGUAGAGAUACUAAAAUGCACACGAACAGUACGUGUUACCUUAACCUUGCCGCUAUUGUUGAACCAUUGGAUGUAGUAAGGAUGUGGAUGUGGUCUUGUGGUGAGAGAUAGCUUCUCCACCACCUCCAUGCUAGCCAAGUUAUUGCAGCUCCCUCCAUCUAUGAUCACGCGAACAGAAUGUUCCUUCACAACUCCCUUUGUAUGGAACAAAUUAUGCCUCUGAUUUUGCUCAGCUUGUGUAACCUGCACACUUAAAACACGUUGAGCAACUAAACAUUCAUACCUGUCAGCAUCUUCAGGAGCCAUGUAUUGCGUCUCAUGAUCAAAAUCGUCUCCACCGUGUUCUUCACGUGUAAUAAGAGCCAAAGUCUCCUCAUCAUAGUCACUAGCGGACUCAUACCCACCAUCCUCAGUAACAAUCAUCACACGCUUAGAUGGGCAUUCUCUCGCAUAAUGACCUCCACCCUUGCAACGUCGACAAAUAAUAUCAUGUGUUUGCCCUGUUGAUGCCAUGGAUGAAGAAGAGCUCUUCGCAGGCCCAGAAGGUGUGCUCUUGGCAGAUAGUGGUGAUUGUGCCUGCUUUAUUGUAUCACGGUUGGAGGUGGCAGCCGAUGGAGGCGCCGGUGUAGCAGAACGUGUGGAAGUAGAUGAUGCACGUGGUGUCCAUGAUGAAGGUCGAGCUGCAGAAAAGUUAGUCCGUGCCAAUGCCUGUCGAUCCUGCACUUCACGUUCAGCUUUACAAGCAAGAUGGAAUAAACGAGUGAUAUUAGUAUACUCCUUAUACUCUAGAAUCGUCUGAAUCUCUCUAUUUAAUCCACCCAUAAAACGUGCAAGCAUAGCUUCAUUCUCCUCAACAAUACCACAUCUAAUCAUGCCAGUUUGUAAUUCCUGAUAAUAUUCUUCUACAGAAUUUUUUCCCUGUCUUAAGCGCUGCAAUUUUUGAAGUAAUUCACGUUGAUAAUAUGGUGGAACCCAACGAGUACGCAUAGCAGUUUUCAAAGCAGCCCAAGUAGCCGGAAUAGGAUAUAAUCUACAAUGCUCAGACCACCAAACACAUGCAAAACUAGUGAAUGCACAAACAGCAGCAGGAACACGUCUCUCCUCGGGAUAUUGUAAACAUGUAAAUCAUUGUUCAGUUUCUAACUCCCAAGUAAGAUAUAUAUCAGUAACAUAUCUACCCUCAAAUGGUGGAAUAUUCAAUUUUAGUUUACGGAGAUGGUCAUGAUCUCGUACCUGAGGGUGAGCCCUACCAUUGCCAUUAUUUGCAUGUGGAUGACCUGGUGGUUGCUGUGCUGGUGGUGGCACGUAGUUCUGAUUUUGAUCAACCUCAUCCUCAUAAUCUCCCACAUAAUCAUCCUCCUCCACAUUAGCAGUUGAUGAGGACAUCAAUACAAUUGUUACACCCACAGCCCCUGCUGCUAUACAUACCGGACCAAUUACUAGAGCUCGUGCACGCCAACUAAAUUACCAGGUACUUUCGUUUCUUGGUAAUGAUUCUAAUGUUCAUGAGAAUAUGAUGCUGCCUAAAUUGGAUACAUUUGUUUUGCUUACAAAUGAAGGGCCUAGCUUGGAGAAGGAUGAACAUUGGAGCAAGAACAAGCAUGGAGAUGAUGGCAUGCGCAAGGGGAACAAGAACGGAGUUACAAGUGAUGAUUUCAGGACUUUGAAGCCACCAUAAUGGGUGCAUGAAGCCUUGGACGAAAUAUACAAGAUGCCACUUCAUAAAUUUCGUCCCGAGGCUAUUUUAGGUGCUGCGUCACCUUAUUAUUGGGCCAGGCCCAUGUAAUUUCGAAAUACAUAAGUAUAGGCUAUUUUUAGAGUCCGUAUGUGUGGGGAAACAAGAGAUAGGGUUGAUUUCGGACCCCUCCACCAAGGGCCACGAAAUUCCCCCCUCUUCCUCCAUAUAUACAGCCCUUAGGGCAUCGUUUAGACUUUGCGUUUUGUUUAGAUUAAAAGUUCGCCAUAGCUGCAACUUCGCGUACUUUGUUUGUGUUCAACGACCAGACAAAGGCGUCACAGAACCCCACCUUGAUCAAUAAAGCUUUCAUCUUAUAUUCGCAAUAUCCAGAUUGCAAUCUCAGUUUCUUGCUUGUUCUUCGUUUGCUCGCAGGAAACAUACCCUCGUGGUCAGGUUGAUCGUGCUCCGGCGUGGUCAAUAACCUCUCGGAGUUGGUUUAGCGAUUGCUAAGGCGCGACGUCCUCGCACGUUCGUAGUCGGAUCGUCAAAGUCGACUUCCACCAGAGCGAUAUCCAUCAUCUCAUCGAAAGACGGGACACCUUUGCCUCUAUCAAGUGGUAUCAGAUUUCCAGGUUGCUCGGUGAGAUUUUACAGUUUUUCGUAGUUUAGAUCGAGUCUGUUCUUCAUACCUACGGUCCACGAAAAAGCCACAAAAAAAUUAGGGUUAGUUCAUCAUAUCCGAACCAAUCUGAGCCUUUGCAUAAUCUUUUUAUGGUUUUGCUUUGUUGAAUUUGCGGUUGCAUUGUCGUAUCUAGUUGCUGGUCUUAGAGUCUAGUCUUUUAGAGUUUCGAGUUCUGGUCAUAAGUUGUCACGCCGCCGCCGCACCAUCAUCAUCGCCCCUGCCAUCUACCACCACCGCUCCGAAUCCGUAUCCAUAUACCACCACCAAUCCGUGUCCAUAUACCACCACCGAUCCAUAUCCAUAUACUACCACCGCUACCACCACCGCUGCUAUAUACCACCACCAUAUAUCCACCACCAAUCCGAGUUCCUUGCAUAUUAGGUUUGUUUUCGAGAUCCAUCUAGUUUCCGAUUCGUGUUUCCUUGCCGGAGUAGGUUUCCGAUUCGUGUUUCCUUGCCGGAGUCGGAAACCACGCUCCGUUUAGGCCCAAAAUUUUUCGAAAACGCAUUUUUCGAAAUUUUUUCUGGCUAUCCUAUUUUUAGGUGUUUCUGAGUGUUUUGAGACAGGUGCCAUUAUAGGAAGUUUUUUUUGACCCGUUUCCAGUUUUUGGGUCCGGGCAGUCGAAAAAAAAAUUUGGUCGAAAAAAAAAUUUCGUGCCCAUCCUGUCAGUUUGACCUAGGAAGAGUUUUGAGACACUCGCCAUUAUAGUGAUUUUUCGCAAAAAAAAGGAGCGCAAAAAAAAGAGCGAAAAAAACAGAGUGUGCUUUUCCCUUGUUUACGUGCCGCGUCGUGAUUUUGUUGGUGUUCUAGGCUCGCGUCUCUAGCACAUUCUAGCCUAGGACCAGCACAGUACCGUCGUUGAGCAUUUAUUCAACUUUGCAUCUCUGAAUUGAUUAUUGCUGACCUUUUUUGCUACCAUACUAUAAGCCUUCCCAGCUCCACAUACAUCUACGUCGUGUGUUUGACUCUCCCUGGUAAUCGCUCUAUCCAAGCUUUGAGAGUUUUUGACUACAACGGUUGCCGAUCACCGCCUGCUGCUGGGUAAGAACUGGUAAGAAUUUGAGAUUUGCUUCACGGAUUUGUGAUACACCACCACCACUUCUUAGUAGUCUGUAGGAUCAUAUUCUUGUGUGUUUCUAUUGCUGCUAACCAUGCCAGGAUCAUAAGCCGACGAGAUUGACUGGGAGAACUUAUGGAACAAGGAGCUUCAUGAUAAGUUUCAGCAAAUGAUGACUGAAUAGGUACAAGAUGUGCUGAACAAUUUUGAAGAGGCCAUGGAGAAGAUCACUGGCCUUGAGAAGACGUUCGAAACAAAGCUCGAUAACAGAUUUAAUGAACUGCUUGCGCGUCUUCCACCACCGGCUGCACCUGUCGCACCUCUGCAACAACAACAACUACGCCCCCUUCCGAAUCAGUAUGGACGAGCACAUCGUGUUCCUAUUGAGCCAGGACAAAAUUCUGGUGCCACUGCUACUGCUGUUGGUGCUUCUUUGGCUCCUGCUACUGCUGCUGCUGGUACCCAGGAGGAUGAUGAUUAUGUGGGAGAUUAUGAGGAUGAGGUUGAUCAAAAUCCGAACUACGUGCAGCCACCAGCACCACCACCACCAGGUCGACCUCAGGUAUAUAUUCGUAAUGGUAGGCCUGCACCACCACCUCAGGUACGAGAUGAUGUCCAUAUUCCUAAACUGAAAUUGAAUAUUCCACCAUUUGAGGGUAGAUAUGUUCCUGAUAUAUAUCUUACUUGGGAGUUAGAAACUGAACAACGAUUUACAUGUUUAUAAUAUCCUGAGGAGAGACGAGUUGCUGCUGCUGUUUGUGCUUUCACUAGUUUUGCAUGUGUAUGGUGGUCUGAACAUUGUAGAUUAUAUCCUAUUCCAACUACUUGGGCUGCUUUGAAAACUGCUAUGCGUACGCGUUGGGUUCCACCAUAUUAUCAACGUGAAUCGCUUCAAAAAUUGCAGCGUUUAAGACAAGGGAAAAAUUCUGUAGAAGAAUAUUAUCAGGAAUUACAAACUGGCAUGAUUAGAUGUGGUAUUGUUGAGGAGAAUGAAGCUAUGCUUGCACGUUUUUUGGGUGGAUUAAAUAGAGAGAUUCAGACCAUUCUAGACUAUAAGGAGUAUACUAAUAUCACUCGUUUAUUCCAUCUUGCUUGUAAAGCUGAACGUGAAGUGCAGGAUCGACAAGCAUUGGGGCGAACUAACUUUUCUGCAGGCCGACCUUCAUCAUGGACACCACGUGCAUCUUCUACUUCAACUGCACCAGCACCUCCAUCCGGUGCCACCUCCAGCCGUGAUACAAGAAAACAGGCACAACCACCAUUAUCUGCCAAGAGCGCACCUGCGGGGCCUGCACAGCGUUCUUCUUCUUCCAUGGCAUCAACAGGGCACACAAGUGAUAUUAUUUGUCGUCGUUGUAAGGGAGGAGGUCAUUAUGCGAGAGAAUGCAAAUCUCCGCGUGUGAUGAUUGCUACCGCGGAUGAUGGAUAUGAGUCCGCUAGUGACUAUGAUGAGGAGACUUUGGCUCUUAUUACACGUGAAGAACAUGGUGGAGAUGAUUCUGAUCAUGAGACGCAAUACAUGGCUCCUGAAGACGCUGACAGGUAUGAAUGUUUAGUUGCUCAACGUGUUUUGAGUGUGCAGGUCACACAAGCUGAGCAAAAUCAGAGGCACAAUUUGUUCCAUACCAAGGGAGUUGUGAAGGAACGUUCUGUGCGCGUCAUAAUAGACGGAGGGAGCUGCAACAACUUGGCUAGCAUGGAGAUGGUGGAGAAGCUUUCUCUCACCACAAGACCACAUCCACAUCCUUACUACAUCCAAUGGUUCAACAACAGCGGCAAGGUUAAGGUAACACGUACUGUUCGUGUGCAUUUUAGUAUCUCUACAUAUGCUGAUUAUGUUGAUUGUGAUGUGGUACCUAUGCAAGCAUGUUCCUUAUUACUUGGUAGGCCAUGGCAAUUUGAUAAACAUUCUGUACACCAUGGUAGAAACAAUCACUAUACUCUUGUUCAUAAGGAUAAAAAUAUUACUUUGCUUCCUAUGACUCCUGAUUCCAUUUUGAAAGAUGAUAUUAAUAGAGCUAAUAAAGCAAAACAGGAGAAGAAUAAGAGUGAAAAUCAGAUUGUGGCAAUAGAAUUUGAGCAACAAAUGAAGCCUAAUAAUAAACCAUGUAGUGUUGCUUCUGAAAUUAAAUUGAAAAGUGCAUGUUUAUUUGCCACCAAAUCUGAUAUUGAUGAGCUAGAUUUCAGCAAAUCUGUUUGCUAUGCUUUUGUGUGCAAAGAGGCAUUAUUUUCAUUCGAGGACGUGCCUUCCUCUUUGCCUCCUGCUGUCACUAACAUUUUGCAGGAGUUCGCUGACGUUUUUCCACAAGACGUGCCACCGGGAUUACCGCCUAUUCGAGGGAUUGAGCAUCAGAUUGACUUAAUUCCCGGUGCUUCACUGCCAAACCGUGCACCAUACCGUACCAAUCCAGAGGAGACGAAGGAUAUUAUGCGUCAAGUACAAGAGCUUCUCGACAAAGGUUAUAUACGCGAAUCCCUUAGUCCUUGUGCUGUUCCUAUUAUUCUAGUGCCGAAAAAGGAUGGUACAUCACGUAUGUGUGUUGAUUGUAGAGGCAUUAAUAAUAUUACUAUUCAUUAUCGUCAUCCUAUUCCUAGGCUAGAUGAUAUGCUUGAUGAAUUGAGUGGCUCUACAAUAUUCUCCAAAGUUGAUUUGCGUAGUGGCUACCAUCAAAUUCGUAUGAAAUUGGGAGAUGAAUGGAAAACAGCAUUUAAAACUAAGUUUGGAUUAUAUGAGUGGUUAGUCAUGCCUUUUUGGUUAACUAAUGCACCUAGUACUUUCAUGAGACUAAUGAACGAAGUUUUACGUGCUUUCAUUGGACGUUUUGUGGUAGUUUACUUUGAUGACAUAUUGAUUUAUAGCAGAUCUUUGGAGGAACAUUUGGAACAUUUACGUGAUGUUUUUAUUGCUCUACGUGAUGCACGUUUGUUUGGUAACCUUGGGAAGUGCACCUUUUGCACCGACCGAGUAUCUUUUCUUGGCUAUGUUGUUACUCCACAGGGAAUUGAAGUUGAUAAAGCCAAGAUUGAAGCUAUUGAGAGUUGGCCGCAGCCCAAAACGGUCACACAAGUGAGGAGUUUUCUUGGCCUCGCUGGAUUCUAUAGGCGUUUUGUGAGAGAUUUCAGCACCAUUGCUGCACCUCUCAAUGAGCUUACAAAGAAAGAUGUGCCUUUUCUUUGGGGUACCGCACAGGAAGAAGCCUUCACGGUAUUGAAAGAUAAGUUGACACAUGCUCCUUUACUCCAAUUUCCUGAUUUUAAUAAGACUUUUGAGCUUGAAUGUGAUGCUAGUGGAAUUGGAUUAGGAGGUGUGUUAUUACAAGAUGGCAAACCUGUUGCAUACUUUUCUGAAAAAUUGAGUGGGCCUAGUCUGAAUUAUUCUACUUAUGAUAAAGAAUUAUAUGCUCUUGUUCGGACUUUAGAAACAUGGCAACAUUAUUUAUGGCCCAAAGAAUUUGUUAUACAUUCUGAUCAUGAAUCUUUGAAACAUAUUAAAAGUCAAGAUAAACUGAAUCGUAGACAUGCUAAAUGGGUUGAAUUCAUUGAGACUUUCCCUUAUGUCAUUAAACACAAGAAGGGAAAAGAAAAUGUUAUUGCUGAUGCAUUGUCUCGUCGCUAUACUAUGCUUUCACAACUUGACUUCAAAAUAUUUGGUUUGGAGACCAUCAAAGAUCAAUAUGUGCAUGAUGCUGAUUUUAAAGAUGUAAUGCAGAAUUGCAAAGAAGGAAGAAUGUGGAACAAGUUUGUCGUUAAUGAUGGAUUUGUGUUUCGUGCUAACAAGCUAUGCAUUCCAGCUAGCUCCGUUCGUCUUUUGUUGUUGCAGGAGGCGCAUGGAGGAGGAUUAAUGGGACACUUUGUGAUGAGGACAUCAAUACAAUUGUUACACCCACAGCCCCUGCUGCUAUACAUACUGGACCAAUUACUAGAGCUCGUGCACGCCAACUAAAUUACCAGGUACUUUCGUUUCUUGGUAAUGAUUCUAAUGUUCAUGAGAAUAUGAUGCUGCCUAAAUUGGAUACAUUUGUUUUGCUUACAAAUGAAGGGCCUAGCUUGGAGAAGGAUGAACAUUGGAGCAAGAACAAGCAUGGAGAUGAUGGCAUGCGCAAGGGGAACAAGAACGGAGUUACAAGUGAUGAUUUCAGGACUUUGAAGCCACCAUAAUGGGUGCAUGAAGCCUUGGACGAAAUAUACAAGAUGCCACUUCAUAAAUUUCGUCCCGAGGCUAUUUUAGGUGCUGCGUCACCCUAUUAUUGGGCCAGGCCCAUGUAAUUUCGAAAUACAUAAGUAUAGGCUAUUUUUAGAGUCCGUAUGUGUGGGGAAACAAGAGAUAGGGUUGAUUUCGGACCCCUCCACCAAGGGCCACGAAAUUCCCCCCUCUUCCUCCAUAUAUACAGCCCUUAGGGCAUCGUUUAGACUUUGGGUUUUGUUUAGAUUAAAAGUUCGCCAUAGCUGCAACUUCACGUACUUCGUUUGUGUUCAACGACCAGACAAAGGCGUCACAGAACCCCACCUUGAUCAAUAAAGCUUUCAUCUUAUAUUCGCGAUAUCCAGAUUGCAAUCUUAGUUUCUUGCUUGUUCUUCGUUUGCUCGCAGGAAACAGACCCUCGUGGUCAGGUUGAUCGUGCUCCGGCGUGGUCAAUAACCUCUCGGAGUUGGUUUAGCGAUUGCUAAGGCGCGACGUCCUCGCACGUUCGUAGUCGGAUCGUCAAAGUCGACUUCCACCAAAGCGAAAUCCACCAUCUCAUCGAAAGACGGGACACCUCCGCCUCUAUCAUAUUCUCCCAAGGAACACUAGGUACAGGCAAAGGCAUAUAUAAACCAUGAGGAUUGAGUCGUGACUUAGCUUUUUGACAUGUAGUGUAGCGAGCAAUAAAACGCUCAACAUCCCGUCUCAUCUUUGGCCAAAAGAAAUGUGUAGCAAGUACGUCCUCCGUCUUCUUCACGCCAAAGUGUCCCAUUAAUCCUCCUCCAUGCGCCUCCUGCAACAACAAAAGAUGAACGGAGCUAGCUGGAAUGCAUAGCUUGUUAGCACGAAACACAAAUCCAUCGUUAACAACAAACUUGUUCCACAUUCUUCCUUCUUUACAAUUCUGCAUUACAUCUUUAAAAUCAGCAUCAUGCACAUAUUGAUCUUUGAUGGUCUCCAAACCAAAUAUUUUGAAGUCAAGUUGUGAAAGCAUAGUAUAGCGACGAGACAAUGCAUCAGCAAUAACAUUUUCUUUUCCAUUCUUGUGUUUAAUGACAUAAGGGAAAGUCUCAAUGAAUUCAACCCAUUUAGCAUGUCUACGAUUCAGUUUAGCUUGACUUUUAAUAUGUUUCAAAGAUUCAUGAUCAGAAUGUAUAACAAAUUCUUUGGGCCAUAAAUAAUGUUGCCAUGUUUCUAAAGUCCGAACAAGAGCAUAUAAUUCUUUAUCAUAAGUAGAAUAAUUCAGACUAGGCCCACUCAAUUUUUCAGAAAAUUAUGCAACAGGUUUGCCAUCUUGUAAUAACACACCUCCUAAUCCAAUUCCACUAGCAUCACAUUCAAGCUCAAAAGUCUUAUUAAAAUCAGGAAGUUGGAGUAAAGGAGCAUGUGUCAACUUAUCUUUCAAUACCGUGAAGGCUUCUUCCUGUGCGGUACCCCAAACAAAAGGCACAUCUUUCUUUGUAAGCUCAUUGAGAGGUGCAGCAAUGGUGCUGAAAUCUCUCACAAAACGCCUAUAGAAUCCAGCGAGGCCAAGAAAACUCCUCACUUGUGUGACCGUUUUGGGCUGCGGCCAACUCUCAAUAGCUUCAAUCUUGGCUUUAUCAACUUCAAUUCACUAUGGAGUAACAACAUAGCCAAGAAAAGAUACUCGGUCGGUGCAAAAGGUGCACUUCCCAAGGUUACCAAACAAACGUGCAUCACGUAGAGCAAUAAAAACAGCACGUAAAUGUUCCAAAUGUUCUUCCAAAGAUCUGCUAUAAAUCAAUAUGUCAUCAAAGUAAACUACCACAAAUCGUCCAAUGAAAGCACGUAAAACUUCGUUCAUUAAUCUCAUGAAAGUACUAGGUGCAUUAGUUAACCCAAAAGGCAUGACUAACCACUCAUAUAAUCCAAACUUAGUUUUAAAUGCUGUUUUCCAGUCAUCUCCCAAUUUCAUACGAAUUUGAUGGUAGCCACUACGCAAAUCAACUUUGGAGAAUAUUGUAGAGCCACUCAAUUCAUCAAGCAUAUCAUCUAGCCUAGGAAUAGGAUGACGAUAACGAAUAGUAAUAUUAUUAAUGCCUCUACAAUCAACACACAUACGUGAUGUACCAUCCUUUUUCGGCACUAGAAUAAUAGGAACAGCACAAGGACUAAGGGAUUCGCGUAUAUAACCUUUGUCGAGAAGCUCUUGUACUUGACGCAUAAUCUCCUUCGUCUCCUCUGGAUUGGUACGGUAUGGUGCACGGUUUGGCAGUGAAGCACCGGGAAUUAAGUCGAUCUGAUGCUCAAUCCCUCGAAUAGGCGGUAAUCCCGGUGGCACGUCUUGUGGAAAAACGUCAGCGAACUCCUGCAAAAUGUUAGUGACAGCAGGAGGCAAAGAGGAAGGCACGUCCUCGAAUGAAAAUAAUGCCUCUUUGCACACAAAAGCAUAGCAAACAGAUUUGCUGAAAUCUAGCUCAUCAAUAUCCGAUUUGGUGGCAAAUAAACAUGCACUUUUCAAUUUAAUUUCAGAAGCAACACUAGAUGGUUUAUUAUUAGGCUUCAUUUGCUGCUCAAAUUCUUUUGCCACAAUCUGAUUUUCACUCUUAUUCGUCUCCUGUUUUGCUUUAUUAGCUCUAUUAAUAUCAUCUUUCAAAAUGGAAUCAGGAGUCAUAGGAAGCAAAGUAAUAUUUUUAUCCUUAUGAACAAGAGUAUAGUGAUUGUUUGUACCAUGGUGUACAGAAUUUUUAUCAAAUUGCCAUGGUCUACCAAGUAAUAAGGAACAUGCUUGCAUAGGUACCACAUCACAAUCAACAUAAUCAGCAUAUGUAGAUAUACUAAAAUGCACACGAACAGUACGUGUUACCUUAACCUUGCCGCUGUUGUUGAACCAUUGG
rnacentral:lncRNA from 1 species